rnacentral:lncRNA from 1 species
CACAUAUUGUCGGACCUGAAGCUUGGAAGGCAGUCACAUGGGAAAGGAAGGAUUCUUGGGAUGAGUGGAAGAAGGACUGCGUGAUUGAAGUUCCCAAGUACCCAGCACAGACCAACCCUGAUCAGCAGGAGGCUGAAACCAAAACCCUACCAACCUUGAAGGGAUUCUACUCAGGUUAUCCAGCCCUGAGCCACCACGACAGUGGUGUUGUUUACAUAUUGGACAGACACGGCCUCGAGGACACAGACGUAACUGUGCUUGCAGUUGAUAUGAGGAAACAGACUCUAAAGGGUGUGGCUAAUUGUUACUCUCCGAGGCCGCUGGGUUACAGUUCCGUCUACUUUGGAAGUGGGAUCUCCAAACAUCUGCUUUCCCCCAGGUAAUGUUGUAUUGUAGACUCAUUAUGUGUAUGCUUAUGUCUCAGGCUUACAUACACAACUUCUUACCUAGGUCUCGCAUUUGGAACUGCAUAUAAAGGCUACAUUAUGGUUCUAGCAUGUAUAGAUACUAAAUGCUGUUUUAAACACAUCCAUACUUGUGUUAAUUAUAAUGUACGCCCUUUCAUUUUAUGGGGCAGUCACGAGUUUUAUAAUGUAAUAAUCCAGUAGUCUCCAACCAAGAAUGAGCCUCACAUAAAAAUUAUAUUGUUGGAUUCAUACCUGAAAAGUAGUUUCUAUUUGUUAUUAACUUAUGACUACAUAUUUUAGUGUUGUAGUGGAGUAGACACUAAAAGUCAGUCUAGCUUUGGAGAGCAUGCUUAGUCAAACCAUGCUGUAUACUGCCUCCAUCCCAUAACAGUUGUCAUUCUAGCCUUCUACACUUGUCUCAGAUUAGGCCCUCUUUGGUAGGACUUUGGCUUCUCCAAAAACAGAAGCAAGGAAAAUAUGGGACUGUUUGGUUAGGUGGCUAAUUCCUGACCAGGCCUGCUGGAGCUAAGAUGAAGAUGUUUGGUUCCCUGUUCUUAAGCCUUAGCCAGGCUAGAGCUCGCCGCCGUACAGGCCUUGGCCUGGCUCCCAGAGAAUGGACAUGGGAUCCGUUUUUCUGGGGCCAGGCUUGGGCCAGCUCACUCGUGAAGUCUUUCCCGAUUCCUGUCACCCCCUCUGCUCUCCUUUUGCUCGCCUCCUCUGCUCGUGAAGUCAGUGCCUUGUGGAGUCCUCCGCCACACUUCUCCUCGCCCUCUCUCUCCCUGUUGCUGUUGGCCAAGCAGAAGCACGCGGCGGUGGGGGAGCACGGCGACGUGACUGUGGGUCCGACGAGCUCUGCCAGGAACAUGGCCAGCAAGGCCCGCGCACUGCAGCGGUAGGCCUUGAAGAGCAGCUUCAUGUGCGCCGGGGACGGGGAGGAUGGGUUCGAGGCAGGGGACUCGUGCACAGGCACUUCGAGCAUGGACGCGGGUGGCAUUGGACGCGACAUGGUGUGGAAGUUGAGCUCAGGUCAUGGGCGCGGCGGGUGGAGGUGGCGCAGCGGACGCCAUGGGCGCAUCGGAGGCUAACAGCAUAGAGGUCAACGCCCGGAAACCGCGACACAACUGCUUUGUUGGUUAUCCAAAGCACACACACGAACGCUGCGGGCUGCUCAGCUCCAUCAGGCAGCAGCUUUGGUCCGCUCGCUAGCUCCAGCUUGCAGCAGAUCGUGUGUCCGUGCCAUUAGCAUUGCUACUUCCAUGGCCCACCACAAGCAGGGGCAAAGGCAGAGAGAGAGAGAGAGAGAGAGAGAGAGAGAGAGAGGGGGGGGGGGGAGGGAGGGAGGGAGGUAGAGAGAGAGAUGCCCAGCACCUGUUCAAUAGAAUGCUGCAAAGAGGGUAAUCUUACCAGGCUCAAAAUGUGGUGAUCCUAUACAAACCAAAGCAAGCAGCCAAACAAACUCUCAUAGAAACGAGACCAAGGAUAGAAGUCCAACCAAUCACACAUGUUGGCCUACUAAAGACAGGCCUAACUUGACCAGGCUCCGAUCGUAGGCAGGCUCCAAUUAAGCCAAGAAACCAAACAGACCCUAUAUGUUUCAGUGGCUUUGGCUUCUAGGCCCAAAACAACUUUAGCUUCAAUGCUUUUGGCUUCGGUUCCGUUCCUGUGCGUGCUUGUUCAGUAGGGCUUCUAGUUAAGCUGGUGGAGAAGCCCCUACAAAAGCCAUACAUCUCCUCGUUCCCUGUGCACCACACCUUUUUCACUCCUUAAUCCCUGUGUCCAGAGCUAGAAUGAAAACUAAUAUGGCAUGGAUGGAUUGCUAUUUUAUAAUGUGAAGAUUCAGUUCUAUGUAUUAAGUUUAUCUUAAAAUGAGGAGUUCAAGUCUGACCACCAAAUACCAUCCUUAUAUUCAUUAGAUGGUAUUCAAAUUGAUUGUAAUAUUCUUUACUUAGGUCUCUGUCCUCAAAUUUUCUGUGCUGUAACUUGUUCCUGUUAUCGAUCAGACCGAUGCAAAAUUUGCAAUCACAAAGCAACACUUCUUGCACAUAAUCAUAUUAGUUAGAUAAUUGUUCUGCUAUUACGGCAUGUUGUAGUUAGAUAAUCUACUUUGCUCAUCUUCUUGCUGUCAUUUGAACUAAAAAUAUUUCCAUCAAACAGAAAUUAAGCACAAUUACUGAGUUGUCUAGAACUACCAAUUUGUGAGCCUGCUUCUUUGUGGUCUGUUCUGAAUUUACUACUGUUCAAUUUAAACUGAUUUUGUACCAGAGCAGAUUUUGUUAAAUAAUAUACACUGUUUUACAGAGGGAACGCUGCUACUGAACCAAGUAAGCACAAAACUCUGCAAUUUGGCAAUCAAGGAGGUCCAAGGAAGAAUGUGCAAUCUGAGAUGAGUUCUAAAAAGUUGAUGGAACACACUGCAAGUGUAGAGGAAGACGAUGCCGUCGUAACCAAGCUGACAACCUAGAAGUUCCUGUGAAGAAUGAUAUCAACUGAACUCCUAAGCUUAUGGAAGAAGCCACGAGUUUAGAGAAAGACAGGAAGUAAGGUGUGCAAGGAAUUCUUGCGGUGGAACAAAUGACUAGUUCUGUGUGUGGUCUAGAGGCUUGUUAUGGUAUAAUGCACCCGAAAUCAGAAGCUAGAUGCUGUCUGUAUUCUGUUUCUUUAUCCUCGUACCAACAUUGUCUUCUGUUUGCUCUAUUGGAAGUCGACAACUAUGCCAACGCUUAAACUUAUCUGCUUACGUCAUCAGUUCAUCUUGGUUGGGUGCGAAUGAAGGGAAUGUUCAUGCGGGGUGAAUCCAUAAAAGAAUAGAAAUUUCACUGCUUUUUGCCCUCUUUAUCACUGCUACCAUGCUUAUCCCUUGAGUAGCCGGCUACCAAGCUUAGUUGUGAUCAGUAACUAGUUUUACUAUAAUAAGGCCUUGUUUACUUCCAAAUUUUUUUGCAAAAUAUGAAUAGUAGUACUUUCGUUUGUAUUUGACAAAUAUUGUCCAAUUAUGGACUAACUAGACUCAAAAGAUUCGUCUUGCCAAUUCUGAUCAAAUUAUGCAGUUAGUUUUUAUUUUUAUCUAUAUUUAAUACUCUAUGCAUACGUUUAAAGAUUCGAUGUGACGGGAAAUCUGAAAAUUUUUGAAAAAUUUUUGAGGAACUAAAUAAGAAGUCCAUAGUAUCUCUCUCACUAAUAGAACGAAUUAACGAAACAUAGUAAUUCCUGAAUGGACGAUGUCUGUGGACAGUGUAUUUGAGAAGAGAGCUCAUCGCCCAGUCAGAUCAUCCAAGCUGUAGCUAAUUGAUCUUCUCGAUUUCAUUACAGUGCUUGCCUAUGAAAAUAUAACUAACAAAGAAUCUAAUGAUACUUGGUUGGUACCAAAAAUAUUAUUAUUUUACUAUAUAAAUUUGGUCAAACUUGAAAAACUUUGACUCUCCAAGAUUCUUGGAAUAACUUAUAAUUUGGAACGGAGGGAGUACAAAAGCAUAGAAUCUCAGCUAAGCGCUGUAAACGAGAUAUUUGCUAUUAUAGCAACCACACAUUCAGUCUAGACAUGCCAGAGAUUAAGUUUGUUUUUAUAAUUAAGGAUUAAGGCCUUGUUUAGAUUCAAAAUUUUUUUGGAUUUUGACACUGUAGCACUUUUGUUUUUAUUUGACAAACAUUGUCCAAUUAUGGAGUAACUAGGCUUAAAAGAUUUGUAUCGUGAUUUACAGAUAAACUGUGUAAUUAGUUAUCUUUUUUAUCUAUAUUUAAUGUUCCAUGUAUGUGCCGCAAGAUUUGAUGUGAUGGGAAAUCUUGUAAAGUUUUGGGUUUUUGGGUGCAUCUAAACAAGGCCUAAAGCAUUCUGCCCAGCCAUACGCCAGACACUAGUUUUCUUUUGAAUUUUCUCCAAUCCAAAUUGGGCCUAAUCAUGUGUGGGCCUGGCCCGUUCCAUCUCCAGCCUAGCAGUCACGACUCCUGCAGGACGACAUAGUGCUGGAGCUCAUCCAUUGUGCCUCAAUGCUGGUAUUCCCCAGCUUGACUUUGACGCUCUCCAGUGAAGCGUGAAUGCCGGCGCGGGACUUCCUCGGCUUGACUUCCAUCCCCUCUAGAGAGGCUUGAAUGGCGGCGUGGAGCAGGAGCGCUGUAGCGGCAUGACUUCCCAUGUCGGCGUGAGGACCGGUCGGGCCAUCGGGGAGCUGUGGGUGCGGCGUGGCGCGGUGCCGCCUGGUGCGGGAGGGGCUGCGGCAUGACGCUUGAACCUCCGCGUGGGAAAAGUGAAAAAUCUCUGAAUUCUGAGGUUGUAGGGGUAGGGGAGGCACAGUUACCAUACUAACCUUCCACUCAUAAGAUUAAUUAGAGAUUAAAGAUAUCUACCUACAAGGUAUGAAGAUUUCUGUUAAAAAUGGCAAGUCAACACUUCUGUUAUAAAGAUAUCUACCUACUUGGCUUUAUGAUGAACCUUUAUGCAGUAUUUCCCCUGAUCUUUUUAAACUUUGCAAUCAGAAGGAGAUUACUGUUUCCCAGGUGGUCAGCGAUGAAAUACACUGAACUGUUAUACAUAGGGUAACUUGUCUUUCCAUGCCGUUCCCAUUUCAUUUACUGUCUUCUGAAGAAUAUUCUUGAUUUGUUUGUUGGAAGUCUCUGCUUGGCCACUUGUCUGAGGAUGAUAGGGGGUAGCGACGUUGUGACGGAUUCCAUGUUUUGAUAGAUAUUGCUUGAAGCGUUUGUCGAUGAAGUGUGCUCCUCCAUCACUUAUCACUACUCUGGGGACUCCAAAUCUUGGAAAUAUAAUUUCUUCAAACAUCCUCUUUGAACUGACGUUGUCGGCAUGCUUGCAAGGUAAUGCCUCUACCCACUUGGAGACAUAGUCAGCUGCCACCAAGAUGUACUCACACUUCUUUGAUGGAGGAAAUGGACCCAUGUAGUCUAUUCCCCAGACAUCAAAGAGCUCAAUCUGAAGGUUGUUGGUGAGUGGCAUUGCAUCCCUUGUAUUUAUGUUUCCGUGCCUUUGACAUGGCCCACAUCUUCUGAUAUAUUGCUUCGUGUCUUCAUACAUUGUAGGCCAGUAGAAUCCACACUGCCAGAUCUUUGAAUGUGUACGGAAUGCUCCAUAGUGACCUCCAUAUGGUGAUGAAUGACAUCUGUCGAUGAUCUUCCAUCCUUCCUCAGUGGUCACACAUCUCCUGAGUAAGCCAUCAGAGCAUACUCGGAAGAGGUAUGGCUCAUCCCAUAUAUGUGAACGACUUUCUUGAAUAAGCUUCUUCUUGUUUGCUCCUGGUGGUACAUACCCUGAAACCAUAAAAUUAACAAUAUCUGCAUACCAGGGGUCAGACCUGUUAAUCCCGUAGAGCAUGUCGUCCCGGAGUGAAUCAUUGAUGGGGGUUUCCUGUGGACUCUUAAAAUACAUUCUAGACAAGUGAUCAGCAACAGAAUUUUCUACUCCCUUUUUAUCUUUUAUUUCUAAGUCAAAUUCUUGGAGUAAUAAGAUCCAUCUAAUCAGGCGAGGUUUAGCAUCUUUUUUAGUGAGCAAAUAUUUUAGUGCAGCAUGAUCAGUGUAAACAAUUAUUUUAGCUCCAACUAAAUAAGAUCUAAAUUUAUCAAUGGCAAAAACAACAGCCAGAAGCUCUUUUUCAGUGGUUGCAUAGUUAAGUUGAGCUCCUGUCAAAGUUUUACUGGCAUAAGCAAUUGCAUGAUGCUUCUUAUUUUUAGUUUAUCCCAAUACUGCCCCUACAGCAUAAUCACUGGCAUCACACAUAAUUUCAAAAGGCAACGACCAAUCAGGGGGUUGAAUGAUUGGUGCAGAGAUGAGUGCUUUCUUUAAUAAAUUGAAAGAUGUUAGACAUGCAUCAUCAAAUUCGAAAGGAGCAUCCUUGGCUAGCAAAAGAGUAAGUGGUCUAGCAAUGAAUGAAAAAUCUUUUAUGAAUCUACGAUAAAAACCAGCAUGGCCAAGAAAGCUUCGAAUUCCUUUUAUAUUCGCAGGUGGAGGUAGUUGUUCAAUUACUUCAAUUUUAGCCUUGUCUACCUCAAUUCCUCUUUCAGACACUAAGUGUCCCAGCACUAUUUCUUCCCUAACCAUAAAAUGACAUUUUUCCCAAUUAAGGAUUAAGUGCUUUUCUUCACAUCUUUGCAAAACCUUGUCUAAGUUUUCAAGACAACUAUCAAAAGUUUUUCCAUAAACAGAGAAAUCAUCCAUGAAAACUUCCAUAAUCUCUUCAAUCAUAUCAGAAAAUAUAGACAUCAUGCAUCUUUGAAAAGAAGUUGGUGCAUUACAUAACCCAAAAGACAUUCUACGAUAAGCAUAAGUUCCAUAUGGGCAUGUAAAAGUGGUUUUGCUUUGAUCAUCAGGAUGGAUCGGGAUUUGAUGAUACCCUGAAUAUCCAUCUAAGAAACAGAAGAACGAAUGGUUUGCUAAUCGCUCUAGCAUCUCAUCUAUGAAAGGUAAAGGAAAGUGAUCUUUUCUCGUGGCUUUUUUUAGUUUUCUAUAGUCUAUGCACAUCCGCCAUCCUGUGAUGGUGCGUUGCGGAAUUAGCUCAUUCUUUUCAUUCAUAAUAACAGUCAUGCCUCCCUUUUUAGGCACAACUUGCACUGGGCUUACCCACUCACUGUGCGGCAUAGGAUAUAUAAUCCCUGCAUGCAGCAACUUUAUAACUUCCUUUUUAACUACCUCUCUCAUAGUGUUGUUAAGUCUACAUUGGGGUUCUCAAGAGGGUGAAACAGAAGGAUCUGUCGGAAUACGAUGGGUACAAAUCAUAGGACUGAUUCCUGUAAGAUCUUGAAAUGAGUAGCCGAAAACUGAGUGAUGUUUCUCAAGAAUGGUCAUUAAUCGCAGAGUUUGAUCCUGAGUGAGUUUAUCGCUAAUGAUCAUAGGGAACUCUGGAUUAUUGUUUAGGAAAGCAUAUGUAAGACCGGGUGGUAAAGUUUUAAGCUCUAUGGGGGUCUAGGUGUUUCUGCAAACUCAUCUAAGGGUUCAGGCUCAGAAGGUUUGUCUUCUUCUUCUGUGAAGAAAGGAGUUUCGUCUUCUAAGUCUGGUUCAUCUAAAAGCUCUAGAGAUGCAGCCUUUACUUCCUCCAUAGGAUCAGGCAAAAGAUAUGAUUCGGCCUCAUUGUUUAAGGAGUGUGAAAUUGUUAUCGGGAAUUUAAAAGUUUUUCCAAAAGAAAUGUGUAGCUUUCCAGUAUGACCUUCAUAAAGGAGUCUUCUAAAAGGUUGUCCUAUCAACAGGUCAAAGUCCCAUGUAUCAAAGAUAUAGAAGUUCAAAUGAACCAUGGAGCCUUCUACCGUAAGAGGUAGGACAUUAAUAAUUCCAAGACUGGGGACCAAUCGUCCCGAAGAUUCCUUUGUGACCUUUGUUGUGGGGGUUAAGACAAUAUUUUUAAUUAGUUUAAGUGCAAAAGAUUCAGACAUGAUGUUGAUCCCCACAACAGGAUUAUAAUGAGCAUUAAAUCGAUCAGAAUUAUAAGCACAGCGUAUAGUUAUAGAGGGUGUGUCCACACGGAUCACAUCAGAGGAAAGCUCUGAUUCCUCCAACCAUUCGCUACUCAUGACUGAGAUAAGCUCUCUUAAUUGAUAUUCACUUGGUAAAUAAAUGCUAAAUUGGCCGUUUUGGGGUUUGUCAAUAGAAUGGUAGUUUGAAAUAUUUCCAAAAUCGGCAAAAAGAUCGGAUUCUAUAUCCAACAUGAAGUCCGGUGGUGGAAUUUCUUCCUCUUGUGGCUCAGAACUUGGGAUAGCUAAAGUAGAUGAAGAAUUUGGCAAAGUGUCUACUUCGGCUUUGUAGGUUUCAUCAUGAAGGGUAUUAUUCAUCUCAGCUUCUAGGAUUCUAUCUAGGAUCACUCUAGCUUCAUCAGCAGGGAUGCGAAAGAAAGAACCUCUAGACAUUGUGUGUAGCAUUUGUUUGUUAUUUUUCUGAAGACCUCAAAAGAAGUGAAAUAAAAGAACAGGGUACAAAAGAUUAAGGUUUGGACUAGAUUCUAAAAGAUCAGAAAAAUGUUUCCAGGAUUUUCCCAAAGUUUCAUUAUCUUUUUGUUUAAAAGAUAGGACUUCGAGUCUAAGGUCGGCUAUACGGUCGAGGGAAUAGAAAUCUAGACAAAAGUUGGCUCGUAAAACUCCCCAUUCACCUUGUUGUUGACUUACCUUCUGACUGUACCAUUGUCUAGCUUCUCCCCUUAAGGAAAAAGGAAAAAGCUUCCAACGUAAAGUUUUAUCAGAAAUGCCUUCAAUGCGAAGACAAUCACAUGUUUGUUCAAAAUCUCUAAUAUGAAGGUAAGGGUUUUCGUCUUUCUUUCCCGAAAAAGAUAGGUUUUGAAUCAUGGCAAUCAACCUAGAACUUAACUUAUACUGGGAUGUUUGGAUAGGCUGUGAUGAUUCCCAUGGUAAAAGGUCAGUUACUGAAGGGAUCGCAGAUUCAUGGAUCGAUUUAGAAUUUUGGUUUUCCAUAUGGUAAGAGUAAAGAAAAUAAAUACAGAAUAUAAAAGAUAAGAAAAGAUAAAAGUAUAGAUACAAGCUAGUAGUAAGACGCAGGUUAUCUCAGCAACCGUCUUUCUCCCCGGCAACGGCGCCAAAAAUGCUUGUUGAUAUUUGGGAACGCAAUAAGGAAUUGAUCCGCAAGCGCACGGAUAUCGGUGAGCACUUCACCCGGGAAAUUAUCCAGAGUAUCGUAUUUAUUUUUUUACCACUAGGAGAAAGAGUGCAUCUGACUAACCGGUCUAUUACUACAAACCCUUUAGGCACAAAGAAUGUCUUUCGAUGUGAGUGAUAAAUAGAGAAGACUGCAACCGUAGUCUCCUUCUAACCUUGGUAAGGAUGAUCUACUGUUCUAAUGGGGAGGCUAACGGAAUCUAGACACCACAAAGGAUGUUCAACCUGCACCUAUAACCCUAUCCUUCCUGCUAACGAGAUAUGGUCUGCAAAGGUAACUCGGAAUUGUCACGUUCCUCACUACUACCACGGUCCAGCUAGUCAGGGAAUAUCUAUGAGUACCCCAGCCUAAACACCACGUUUACGCCAGCAAUGAUUACUCUAAACUCUACGCGAAGAGAUUAAAGUAAACUCAUAAACCAUAAGAACAAUAAAACAAGAACUUACUAGAAUUUAGAAGUCGAAAUACUGAAGAAUCCUAGGAGCAAGCUUCGGGUUAGGAGAACUUGAUCCCGCAGGUACAAGCUUGGAGUAGACAUCGACAGGCCAGGCUUCCUCCAAUCUACACCUCCACUCUAUCUCUCUCAAUCUAGUAGAAACUAGAAGAUCUAUUUCUACUUUACAUUGGUUGCUAAGCCUAAAAAGAAAUAUUAAUUAGAGAAGAGGUUUUCCUUCGAGGGCACCCCUCAAUCUCUAUGAUAAUUUCUUGUCUUCUCCAGGGGCCAGGGGGGUCUCCUUAUAUAGUCCUCCUCCUCUAUGCGUUUUUGGGUCGGUAGGCGAGGUGGUACUAUGUUUUCCUUGAUCCAAUAGGUCGGUUGAACAUCCCGUGCGAAGAGAGUCCCAAUUGACAUCCAGCAGGGGUCGGGCGCCCAGGUCACCAGGGCGGGCGCCCUGGGCCUGGCCCCUUUCGGCCUCUGUUUUCUUCCCGUGGCUUCUGGAGUCUUCUAGAUGGUAGAAAAUCGCGCGGUGCGUUGAUAUCUCUAUGUAAUCCUGACAUGUGGGCCUUUCUUCCUUAUUUCCUGAUAACCCCCUGCAGAAAUAGAUAAACAACAAAACUCGUGGAAUUCUGUCAGAUCAAACCUUAAUUCUAGGUGUUGGUUGCAUAUUGGUCCUUUUCCUUGUUUAUUUGAUAAUUUAAAUUGAUACUUAAGAACUGUCAACAGUCACAACUUCCCCCAUGGUGUCCAGAGGGGUUGACUAGGACAUAGAAAAGGAGGCUGCAGCGCGAAAGACGAGAAGAGCUAAGCAAGGGCGAGAACUCUGGCCAGUCUGGGGAUCAGCAACAACCGGAUCCUAAGGGGAAAGGGUCAUCAGCAGAUGUUAACAUGGUAUUUAUGUUGCCGAUGGAGUUCCUUGCGCCAUCCAGUGAUGAUGAGGAGUUGGAGUUUUCGGACCAGAUAGCUCAAUUGGCUCUGGAUCCGAUGACAGCUAUCUUUGAAAAGCCUGCCGACAAUGAAAGGCAACAUCUUAAAGCUCUGUUUGUUAAAGGAAGAGUUGAUGGUCAGCCAAUGACCAAGAUAUUAAUUGAUGGUGGAGCUGCUAUCAACAUCAUGUCGUAUACAGUCUAUCGGAAGCUUGGAAAAGGAGAUCAAGAUUUGACAAAGACCGAUAUGAUGCUGAAAGACUUUGAAGGAAAUGUGUCUCCGGUUAAGGGGGCAAUUUGCGUUGAGUUGACCAACAGCAGCAAAACCUUGCCGACAACCUUCUUUGUGAUCAGUGGAAAAGGUGCUUAUAAUUUGCUGCUAGGGAGAGACUGGAUUCAUGCCAAUUGUUGCAUCCCAUCUACAAUGCACCAGUGCUUGCUUCAGUGGGUAGGUGACAAGAUUGAGGUUGUCCCGAGAGAUUUUUCCUAUGUCAUCGCAUCGGCAGAAGCAGAUACCUAUGAGAGGACUAGGUGUAUCUCGGGAGAGAUUUGGGAGAAGGAUUUCCUCAAAGUUGUCGAUUAUGAAAUUCCACCAAUCCAAGCAGUCGGUUCUGAUGAGGACGUCAGAAGCAGCUGAAAGAAGUGCAUCGGUGGAUCCUCAGCAUCAGAUUACUGGUGCCGAUGCCAAAGGAAAAGGUUUGAUCCAGGAAGGAACUAGCUCAAGAAGGCUUCCCCGAUCUGGCAUUGUGAUAACUCAUAGAAGGCAUCGAGAGACUUGGCAGCAACGUGAAGAUCGGUAUCGGCAUCAACAAGAAGAUUAUCGCCGGGAAGAAGAGAGGCAUCGACAGGAGUGGAAUCGGCAUAAAGAUCACUGGAACUGCCCGUUCUUUAUCCAUUGCUGGGAGCAGAACAUUAAAUUGCCCACUGUUAGAGAUUGCCCUAAAUAUAGUGGUUAUGAUCGGUAUGAUAGACCUGAUCGGCAGUAUCAGAAUGAUGAUCGGCGAUUUAAUGGGCCGAUUAGGGGGAGAGCUUCAGUUCAUGAUCGGCUGGGGGGUAGACUCAGUGUGCAUGAUAGACUUGGUGAUCGUGUCGGGUAUUUUCCCAGGAACCAGGAGGAGCUUGAAGAGAUGGCCAAUGCAUGAGUUCCCGAUGAGUUCAUAUUUUGUAGGGAUGCUAAUACUUAUCGGGUGGAGUCAAGGGAAAGUCAUCGCCCAUCGGCAAGGCAGCCACAACUUCCUCCAUGGUGUCCAGAGGGAUUGACUAGGACACAGAAAAGAAGGCUGCAGCGCAAAAGACGAGAAGAUUUGAGCAAGGGAGAAAAUUCUGGCAAGUCUGGAGAUCAGCAGCAACCGGAUCCUAAGGGAAAAGGGCCAUCAACAGAUGUUAACAUGGUGUUUAUGUUGCCAAUGGAGUUCCUUGCGCCGUCCAGUGAUGAUGAGGAGCUGGAUUUUUCUGACUAGAUAGCUCAGUUGGCUCUGGAUCCGAUGACGGCUAUCCUUGAAAAGCCUGCUGACAAUGAAAGACAACAUCUUAAGGCUCUAUUCGUCAAAGGAAGAGUUGAUGGGCAGCCGAUGACCAAAAUAUUGGUUGAUGGUGGGGCUGCUAUCAACAUUAUGCCGUAUGCAGUCUAUCGGAAGCUUGGGAAAGGAGAUCAAGAUCUAACCAAGACCGAUAUGAUGUUAAAGGACUUUGAAGGAAAUGUAUCUCCGGUUAAGGGUGCAAUAUGCGUUGAGCUGACUAUCGGCAGUAAGACCUUGCCGACAACUUUCUUCAUAAUUAGUGGAAAGGGUGCUUACAAUCUGCUACUCGGGAGAGAUUGGAUUCAUGCCAAUUGUUGCAUGCCAUCAACAAUGCACCAAUGCUUGGUUCAGUGGGUAGGCGACAAGAUUGAGAUUGUCCCAGGAGAUUCUUCUUAUGUCAUUGCAUCGACAGAGGCUGAUACUUAUGAAAGGACCAGGUGUAUCUCGGGAGAAAUUUGGAAAAAUGAUUUCCUCAAAGUUGCCGAUUAUGAAAUUCCACCGAUCCAAGCAGUCGGUUCUGAUGAAGAGUUCUAAUAGAUAGGUUCACCGAUGAUAGAAAAUUAGGCCAGGGGUUCACAUCAGCCGACGAUUUAGUAGAGGUAGAUAUAGGUAGUGGAGAUAAGCCUAGACCUACUUUUAUUAGUGCUAAGUUAAAUUCUGAGUGUAAGCAACAGUUAACCGAUCUGUUAAAGGAGUAUAAAGAUUGCUUUGCUUGGGAUUAUACUGAGAUGCCUGGUUUAGACCGAUCUAUUGUUGAACAUCGGUUGCCUAUCAAGUCUGGAUUUCAGCCACAUCAGCAGCCAGCUCGCCGAUGUAAUCCUAAUAUUCUUCCUGAUAUUAAGGCCGAGAUAACUAAACUUAUUGAAGCUAAAUUUAUUCGGCAAUGUCGGUAUGCCGAGUGGAUUUCCAAUGUCGUUCCAGUUUACAAGAAAAAUGGAAAACUUCGAGUCUGCAUUGAUUUCAGGAAUCUUAACAAAGCUACGCCGAUGGAUGGUUACCCAAUGCCAGUUGCCGAUUUGCUAGUUGAUGCUGCGGCUGGACAUCAGAUCAUAAGUUUCAUGGAUGGCAAUGCAGGAUAUAAUCAGAUAUUCAUGGCUGAGGAAGAUAUUCCAAAGACUGCAUUUAGAUUUCCUGGUCAUGUUGGAUUGUUUGAGUGGAUAGUCAUGACCUUUGGAUUGAAAAAUGCUGGUGCUACCUAUCAAAGGGCUAUGAAUUUUAUCUUCCAUGAGUUCAUCGGCAAGCUGGUAGAAAUUUACAUUGAUGAUGUGGUGGUUAAGCCUGGGGGUUUCACAAAGCAUCUUGCCGAUUCUCAAAAGGUGUUGGAAUGCACAAGGAAACAUGGUUUAAAAAUGAAUCCUAAUAAGUGUGCAAUCGGUGUAUCGGCAGGGCAAUUUCUUGGUUUCAUGGUGCAUCGGAGUGGAAUUGAAAUUAGUAGACGAUCUAUUGAUGCUAUCAAUAAGAUAGUUGCCCCUACCAACAAAACUGAACUCCAAUCGUUGAUCAACAAGGUAAAUUUUAUCAGGCGGUUUAUAUCUAAUUUGUUUGGUAAAAUUUGUGCUUUCAGUACUUUGCUUAAAUUGAAAGCCGAUCAAGAGUUUAUAUGGGAAGAAGAGCGACAGUUGGCCUUGAAUGAAAUCAAGAAUUAUUUGACAAAUCCUCCAGUCUUGAUUCCACCGCAGCAAGGGAAGCCCUUUAGAUUAUAUUUGUCUACCGAUGGAAUGGUCAUCGGUUCGGCUUUGAUUCAAGAAUUUGAAGGGAAGGAGUGUGUGAUUUACUAUUUAAGUAGAAGAUUGAUUGAUGCUGAGACCAGGUAUUCGGCCACUGAAAAAUUAUGUUUAUGCCUAUAUUUUUCUUGCACUAAGUUGAGACACUAUUUGCUAUCGGCCGAAUGCACUCUUAUAUGCAAAGAUGAUGUAGUCUGAUAUAUGCUAUCUAUGCCGAUUAUGAGUGGUAGAAUCGGUAAGUGGAUUUUGGCACUGUCGGAAUUUGAUCUACGUUACGAGUCAGCUAAAGCAGUUAAAGGGCAAAUUAUGGCCGAUUUUGUGACUCAACAUCGCGGUGUAGUGGAGACUUUGGAAAUUGUGCCUUGGACACUCUUCUUUGAUGGAUCCACGUGUGACCGGGGGCAGGAAUCGGCAUAGUAUUAAUUUCCCCUCAGGGAAGGAAAUAUGAGUUCUCUUUGCCGAUUGUUGCCACGUCAACGAAUAAUCAAGCUGAGUAUCAAGCUUUGAUCAAGAGGUUGGAAUUGUUAAAAGAAGUUCGUGCUGAUGCUGUUGAAAUCUUUAGGGAUUCUAUGCUAGUUAUAAAUCAGUUGGCUAGAAAUUAUGAAUGCCGAAGCGAGGUCCUGAUAACUUAUUACGAAAAAGGUGUACAACUAUUAAGGGAAUUCAAAGAUUUCCGAUUAGAACAUGUUCCUCAGUUACAUAAUGAGGAGGCAAAUCGGUUAGCUCAGCAUGCCUCGGGAUAUCAACCCAUACUGAACACGUUAUCGGCAAUCGGUGCCGAUGAUUGGAGAAAGGAGAUUAUUGAUUAUUUAAGAGAUCCAUCUAAGAAGGUUAAGAGGCGUAUCCGGUUUCAAGUGACCAAGUAUGUGCUCCUUGAGGAUGAGUUGUAUUAUCGAACUAUAGAUGGAGUUCUUCUCAAAUGUUUAGGUAAUGAUGAAGCUAAAAGUUUGAUGGGUGAAAUCCAUGAAGCAGUGUGUGGAGCACAUCAGUCGGCUUUUAAGAUGAAAUGGAUGAUCAGGAGAAAUGGGUAUUAUUGGCCGACCAUACUUGAGGAUUGUUUUAAGUAUUUCAAAGGAUGUCAAGGAUGUCAGAAAUUUGGUAAUAUUCAAAGGGCACCCGCAUCGGCCAUGAAUCCCAUUAUUAAACCCUGGCCGUUCCGGGGAUGGGCUAUCGAUCUAAUCGGCCAAAUUUACCCACCAUCGAGCAAAGGGCAUAGGUUCAUCUUAGUUGCCACUGAUUAUUUCACCAAGUGGGUUGAAGCUAUUCCUUUGAAGAAAGUCACAUCGGCCAAUAUGAUUGAUUUUGUGAAAGAACAUAUUAUUUACCGAUUUGGUAUUCCUCAAACAAUUACUACCGAUCAGGGUACUAUGUUUACAUCGUAAUCUCCUUCUAACCUUGGUAAGGAUGACCUACUGUUCUAUUGGGGAGGUUAACAGAAUCUAGACACCACAGAGGAUGUUCAACCCGCACCUAUAAACCCUAUCCUUCCUACUAACGAGAUAUGGUCUUCAAAGGUAACUCGGAAAUGUCAUGUUCCUCGCUAAUACCACGGUCCAGCUAGUCAGGGAAUAUCUAUGAGUAUCCUAGCCUAAACACCACGUCUACGCUAGAGAUGAUUACUCUAAACUCUACGCAAAGAGAUUAAAGUAAACUCAUAAACCAAAAGAACAAUUGUUGACACCGUUUUUGGACACGUACCCAGGAUCAGUAGAGUAUAGAUCGGCAAGAUAGGGCAACAGUAACUGGUCUGUAGGGGAGUUGCCGAUGAAGGUGGUUGCCGAUGAAGGGACGGCUGAAUGUGACUAAGUCUAUGAGUGGUGACGCGUUCAUGCCGAUGGUCAGCGUUAGCCUUGUCGAUGGCUACGAUGAGGAGUCUGCUGAUGACUGAGAAGGAGAACAUGAAGGUUGCCGAUUGGUCCAUGGUAGUGUCCCAGUUUGUCACAGGAGGAUAGUUUUGUGCUUUCCUUAGUAAUUUAAAUCAUUUUGUAUACGGGUUCUGUUUUAUUUGGAAUUCGAGUCCUAGUCGUGUCUGAUUGUAGCUCUUUGAGCAGGGUAUAAAUGUAGACCCUAGGGCCUUGUAAUCAAUCAAUCAAUCAAUCAAACACAAGUUUUUACUCAUAUUCCAGCAUCUACUUUUUCGACGACUUCGUCAUAUUUUCCUUUUUAUUACAAGUUCUUAGGAGUUCGUCGACUUAACCUCGGUGUAUUCUCAUGUUCCGCAUGAAUACCUCUUGGCCGUGGCAGCCAGGCGCAUUGCUGUUGUCAGGACCAAAUUAUUCGAGUUAUCACCUUUGCCGAUAGUAAGGUCAAAUCGGCUGGCACGCCUUAACGUUUGAAAUCGGGUAUUAGCCCUUUGUGUUUGCAGAUCCACUUUUGCAUCAACACAUCUUUUGGCACACCUAGUGGGACCAGAUUCAAGACCAAGAUCGACAUGGCGACUAGCAAUUUCGACUUGGAGAAUGUCAUCCCCGUGACGGAAGCUAAUCUUAGAGAUGAGCAGAAGCAAGCUAUUGCAAAAGCCAUGGAGGACUACAAGCAGCAAUGUUUGAAGUCUUUCAGCAUCAACAGGAGUGGCGAGGUGAUCCAGAAAGAAGCACUGCCGGCACCUCGGUGUUGACGGUCCUUAAGUAUCAAAUUUAAUUAUCAAAUAAAUAAAGAAAAGGAUCCAAAUAAAAGCAAGAUCCAGACUUAGGGUUUUAUCUGACAGAAUUCCACGAGUUUUGGUGUUUAUCUAUUUCUGCAGGGAGUUAUCAGGAAAUAUGGAAGAAAGACCCACAUGUCAGGAUUACGUAAAGAUAUUAACGUGCUGCGCAAUUAUCUUACAUCUAGAAGACUCCAGAAGCCACGAGACCGAAGCGGAGGGGAAUCGGAGCCAGACCCUGGGCGGCCGCCCAGGAGAUCAGGGUGCCCGCCCUACCCCUGAGUCCAAUCAGGACUCUGCUUUGCGGGAGAUCUCCACCGACCUAAAGGAUGAAUCUAAACCAUACAAUCUAUGUCGGUUUGAUCCAAGGGCCCAUAUUCACUUGAAGGGACUAUAAAACCAGACCCCCUGGCCCCUAGAGGAGAGAGCCUCUCAACCCUAAUUCAUUGUUCCAUCAAGGGAGAAGAAGCCUCUGAUCAAGAUUAGAGCCACCACAUCAAUUAGAUAUCUAGAUUAGCAUAGCUACAUAGAAUUAGAACUAGAAGGAGUCAAUCUUCGAUUGGUUUCCGGAUCUGUCAGGAGGAUUCUUGGUAAUCUUCUAAUUGUUCUUCUAAUUACUUUCUAAUUAUCUUUGUUCUUCAAUAUUAUGAAUAUGACUUUGUUCUACUUCAAUAUAUUGCUUAUGACUUUGCUCUACUUGCUUAUAUUCAAGAUUAUAUUGUUCUUAGUUUAUCAUAGUUAUGUACUUGGCUUAGUUAGAUUUGAUCUAUAUACAUGCUUAGGAUCGUAUAGCGUUUAUCCAUCGGAUCCAUGGGUAAAUGAUAGAUAUUGUGUAGGCGUGGUGCUUAUACCGUAUUUAUCUGCGAUUGUACCCAAUAUGCCAGAUCGUGGGGUGGUUCGUGAUAGUGACAGCUUCAUUGAUUCUUAUAUAGUCCCCCUCUCGUGUAUUGGGCUGGCAGAGCAACAUUAUUACAGGGGAGUGAUUGCUAUGUUUCUCAUAUUCCUUGCUAAUAUCACUAUGCAUGGGCGUAGUCUUGUCUCGCAAUGAUUGCUAAGUAUGCUUGCACUAACUAUGAUAUGCUAGACUAUAUAGUUGAGAAUAACUUAGGGAAUAUUCUUGUAGUUCGUUCUAAUACCAUGCUAAUGACUUUCUAGAGUAUCUAAUUGAGGUGCUUAUCAUAUUUAUUAUGUGGCUAGAUCAGAUUAGUUAUCCUUGUCACUAUUAUUAUUUCAUAUAUCUUUUAUGUGACACUUAUCCCUGUAUGAAGAGUUAGAUAUAAUGUUCUCAAUUAUACAUGCAAUGAUAGAUGCUCAAUCUCAUAUGCUAUUCUGUAAUCAAUAUUGAUGAUCGCUAAUCCCUUCCCAGUGGUAAAAAUAUAAAUAACGAUACCUGGAAUACUUCCCGGUUAAAAUGCUGCAUCAGUAUUAAUCUGUGCGCUUGCAGAUCCCAUUCAUUAUUUAUUUAGAAGAGCAAUUGCAUAUUUCAAUACCGCGUCUCUUAUAUCAUGCUGGGGAUGACAACUUGGCUUAAGUGGUGUAAGGGAUAGGUUUGGCAUUUUUGGCACCGUUACUAGAUUUAGAGAACUUAGUCUACUUUUGGUAAUGAUGUUAAGAAUACCCAACACUCGGCAGGUUACUUUUGAAGCCAAUCCUGGUAAACUUCAAGACAUGGUUGAUGGUGCUGUUAACCGUGCCUUGAUCAAUAAAGCUAGUGUGCUGUCCAAUACGGUUUUCAAUGCCGUGGUUAGAACUUUCAAAGGACAAUUGUCACCAAAUUAUGUGGGCCCUUCUCAUCAUCAGCCAGGAUCACCGGUGGUCACAGCUCCAUCGGCUGCAGCGGCCGCUGCGGGCAUAGAAACUACUGUUCCUCCUAGCACGUUAGGAGUCACUAACGGGCAAUCUACGCCGAUGACGACCAAUCCAUCGACUUCAGAUGAGCAGGUCAAGCUUGCUACAGAUCUAUUGGCAUCGGCGAUGUUGGGAUUGGUCCCUCCUCCUAACUGGUGGGGUUAUGGUAUGCCUCCAGAGUUGACAUUGAAGACACCUAGCAUAUCUCAGACGGCUAAUGUGAGAGGCAAGGCUCCUAUGACAUCGGCACCUCCAAAUAUGCCGAUGAAUCAGAGUCCCCAGUAUACUACAACUACUACUGUAAGGCCUUACACUGGGGAUUCUCAAGCUCCAACGUUCCAGAUGCCUAAUGCAUCGGCAGAUUCAGUGCCGACGCAACAGAGGUUUAUGACUCAGUCAGGGUAUGUCAAUUCAAUGAUGAUGCCUAAUUACCAGACAUCGGUAGGAUCUAUGCCGAUGAAUGCUAAUAGUGGAUGGCCUGGGCAGCAAGUCUUUCCACAAAUGUCCCAACAGAAUCAUCAGGCUACAGGGUUUCAACAAGGCCAGAUCUACCCCGGGUUCCAGAAUCAAGGGUUGCCUAACCAGCCGAUGAAUCUUGGUCAACAGUUUGGUGGUCAGACGAUCAACCCCAUGUUCCAUGCAGAUCGUGCGCCUCAACGACACGUGGAAGUGUAUCAGCAGGUGCCAGAUCCACAACCACCCUAUCGGCAAGAUGUCGAUGCUUAUUGGGCCGAUAAGAUUGCUGAAGUAAUGAGGGACCAAUUUGGGAUAAAACCCAAAGUCAACACUUACUCUUAUCGGACACCGUAUCCUCCUGCAUAUGAUUUGAUUCCACUUCCAAAUCGGUACAAGGUACCAGAUUUCACUAAGUUUUCUGGACAGGAUGACACAUCAACAAUGGAACAUGUCAACAGGUUUAUUAUCCAAUGUUGGGAAGCUGCUAACACAGAUGAAUUGAGGGUUCGUUUGUUUUCAUCUUCUUUGUCUGGAUCGGCUUUUACCUGGUUUAUUUCGUUACCUCCCAACUCGGUGAUUACUUGGGCCGAUCUAGAGAAGCAGUUCCACAAGUACUUCUUUUCUGGAGUUCAUGAGAAGAAGAUUACCGAUUUGGUCAGAUUGAAACAACGUAAUAAUGAAUCGGUUGAAAGUUUUAUGCAGAGGUUGCGGGAGGUCAAGAAUAAAUGCUAUAGUCUAGUUUUAGAUGAUCGGCAGCUAGCCGAUUUGGCUUUCCAGGGUUUGUUGCCACAUAUCAGGGACAAAUAUGCUUCUCAAGAGUUCGAGAGCCUAAGUCACUUGGUCCAGAGGAUUUCCGACCAGGAUAUUAAGCCCUUUGAACCUAAGAGGGCUUGGAACAAAAAGGUAUCAUUUGUUGAUGAGGCAGCAAGCUCAGAUUCUGAUGAAGAACCAGUCAUCGGCCUAGCAGAAUGGGUAAAGAACAAGAAGCCGAUGUCUUGCCCUUUCGGGCAUAAAGAGCCAGAGUAGUUCGCAUUUGAUAUCACUAAAGCCGAUAGGAUAUUUGACUUUCUACUUUAGGAAGGGCAAAUCAAGCUGUCACCCAAUCAUGUGAUCCCAUCGGCUGAGGAAUUAAAUAGAGGAAAUACUACAAAUGGCACAAUGCAACUUCUCACAGCACCAAUGAGUGCAAAGUUUUUAGACAACAGCUGCAAUCGGCUAUAGAAUCUAGGAGGAUCAAAUUUGACAGCUCCAAAACUCACAAGCCGAUGAAGAUUGAUCAACAUCCUUUCCCAACGAAUAUGCUGGAUGCUAAGGGAAAGGCCAAGGUCUUGACAUCGGAAGCAGCUGAAAGAAGUGCAUCGGUGGAUCCUCAGCAUCAGAUCACUACUCCCGAUGCAAAAGGGAAAGGCUUGAUCCAGGAGGGAAGUAACUCGGGAUGGCCUCCCCGAUCUGGUAUUGUGAUAACUCAUAGAAGGCCUCGGGAAACUUGGCAGCAACGUGAGGAUCGGUAUCGGCGCCAGCAAGAAGAGUAUCAUCGGCAAGAAGAAAGACGCCGACAGGAGUGGAAUCGGCACAAGGACCACUGGAACUACCCAUUCUUUAUCCAUUGCUGGGAGCAGAACAUCAAAUUGCCUACUAUUAGAGAUUGCCCUGAGUGCAAUGGUUAUGAUCGGUAUGACAGAUCCGACCGGCGUUAUCACAAUGAUGAUCGGCAAUUUAAUGGGCCGAUUAGGGGGAGAGCGUCGGUUCAUGACCGACUAGGGGGCAGACUCAGUGUGCAUGAUAGGCUUGGUGAUCGUGUUGAAUAUUUUCCUAAGAAUCAGGAAGAGCUUGAGGAGAUAGCUAAUGCACGAGUUCCCGAUGAGUUCAUAUUUUGUAGGGAUGCUAACACUUAUUGGAUGGAGUCAAGGGAACAUCGUCGUCCAUCGGCAAGGCAGUCACCACUUCCCCCAUGGUGUCCAGAGGGGUUGACUAAAACACAGAAAAGGAGACUGCAGCACGAAAGACGAGAAGAGCUAAGCAAGGGCGAGAACUCUGGCCAAUCUGGGGAUCAGCAACAAUCAGAUCCUAAGGGGAAAGGGCCAUUGGCAGAUGUUAACAUGGUAUUUAUGUUGCCGAUGGAAUUCCUUGCGCCGUCCAGCGAUGAUGAGGAGUUGGAGUUUUCCAACCAGAUAGCUCAAUUGGCUCUAGAUCCGAUGACGGCUAUCUUUGAAAAGCCUACUGAAAAUGAAAGGCAGCAUCUUAAAGCUUUGUUUGUCAAAGGAAGGGUUGAUGGUCAGCCAAUGACCAAGAUAUUAAUUGAUGGUGGAGCAGCUAUCAACAUCAUACCAUACGCAGUAUAUCGGAAGCUGGGGAAAGGGGAUCAAGAUUUGACCAAGACCGAUAUGAUGCUAAAAGACUUCGAGGGAAAUGUGUCUCCAGUUAAGGGGGCAAUUUGUGUCAAGUUGACCAUCGGCAGCAAAACCUUGCCGACGACUUUCUUCGUGAUCAGUGGGAAUGGUGCCUAUAAUCUGUUGCUAGGGAGAGAUUGGAUUCAUGCCAAUUGUUGCAUCCCGUCUACAAUGCACCAAUGCUUGGUUCUGUGGGUAGGUGACAAGAUUGAGAUUGUCCCGGGAGAUUCUUCUUAUGUCAUUGCAUCGGCAGAAGCAGAUACCUAUGAGAGAACUAGGUGUAUAUCGGGAGAAGUUUGGGAGAAGGAGUUCCUCAAAGUUGCCGAUUAUGAAAUUCCACCGAUCCAAGCAGUCGGUUCUGAUGAAGAGUUUUAAUAGAUAGGUUCGCCGAUGAUGGAAAGUUAGGCUAGGGAUUCACAUCGGCUGAUGAUUUGGCAGAGGUAGAUAUAGGUAGUGGUGAUAAACCUAGGCCUACUUUUAUUAGUGCUAAGUUAAAUUAUGAGUGUAAGCAGUAGUUAACCGAUUUGUUAAAGGAAUAUAAAGAUUGCUUUGCUUGGGAUUAUACUGAGAUGCCUGGUUUAGACCGAUCAAUUGUUGAACAUCGGUUACCCAUUAAGUCUAGAUUUCGGCCACAUCAACAGCCAGCUCGCCGAUGUAAUCCUAAUAUUCUUCCUGAUAUUAAGGCCGAAAUAACCAGACUUAUUGAAGCUAAAUUUAUUCGGCAGUGUCGGUAUGCCGAGUGGAUUUCUAAUGUUGUUCCGGUUUACAAGAAAAAUGGGAAGCUUUGGGUCUGCAUUGAUUUCAGAAAUCUUAAUAAAGCUACACCGAUGGAUGGCUACCCAAUGCCAGUUGCCGAUCUACUAGUUGAUGCUGCGGCCGGGCAUCGGAUCAUCAGCUUUAUGGAUGGCAAUGCAGGAUACAAUCAGAUAUUCAUGGCUGAAGAGGAUAUUCCAAAGACUCCAUUUAGAUGUCCUGGUCAUGUUGGGUUGUUUGAAUGGAUAGUCAUGACCUUUGGCUUGAAAAAUGCUAGUGCUACCUAUCAGAGGGCUAUGAAUUUUAUAUUUCAUGAGUUCAUCGGCAAGCUGGUGGAAAUUUAUAUUGAUGAUGUGGUGGUUAAGUCUGGAGACUUCAUAAAGCAUCUUGCCGAUUUGCAAAAGGUGUUAGAAUGCACAACGAAGCAUGGUUUGAAGAUGAAUCCCAAUAAGUGUGCAUUUGGUGUAUCAGCAGGACAAUUCCUUGGUUUCAUGGUGCAUCAAAGGGGGAUUGAAAUUAGUCGAAGAUCUAUUGAUGCUAUCAACAAAAUAGUUGCUCCUACCAACAAGACUGAGCUUCAAUCCUUGAUCAGCAAGGUAAAUUUUAUCAGGAGGUUUAUAUCUAAUUUGUCUGGUAAGAUUCGUGCUUUCAGUCCUUUACUUAAGUUGAAAGUCGAUCAAGAGUUCAUCUGGGGGAAAGAGCAGCAGUUGGCCUUAGAUGAAAUCAAGAAGUAUUUAGUAAAUCCUCCAGUUCUGAUUCCACCUCAGCAGGGAAAGCCCUUCAUAUUAUAUUUAUCUACCGAUGGUAUGGUCAUCGGUUCGGCUUUAAUUCAAGAAUUUGAAGGGAAGGAACGUGUGAUUUACUAUUUAAGCAGGAGAUUGGUUGAUGCUGAGACCAGGUAUUCGGCCAUUGAAAAGUUAUGUUUGUGUCUUUAUUUCUCAUGUAUUAAGUUGAGACACUAUUUGUUAUCGGCUGAAUGCACUGUCAUAUGCAAAGACGAUGUGGUCCGAUAUAUGCUGUCUAUGCCGAUUAUGAGUGGCAGGAUCGGUAAGUGGAUUUUGGCAUUGUCAGAAUUCGAUUUGCGUUACGAAUCGGCUAAGGCGGUUAAGGGACAGAUUAUGGCCGAUUUUGUAACUCAACAUUGCGGUACAGUGAAGACUUUAGAAAUUGUACCUUGGACGCUCUUCUUUGAUGGAUCCACGUGUGACCGGGGGGCAGGGAUCGGCAUAGUGUUAAUUUCCCCUCAGGGAAAGAAGUACGAGUUCUCCUUGCCGAUUGUUGCCACGUCAACAAAUAAUUAGGCUGAGUAUCAAGCUUUGAUAAAGGGGUUGGAAUUACUAAGGGAAGUUCAUGCUGAUGCUGUUGAAAUCUUCGGGGAUUCUAUGCUGGUUAUAAAUCAAUUGGCCGGAAGCUAUGAAUGCCGAAGUGAAGUCUUGAUAACUUAUCACGAAAGGAGUAUGCAACUGUUAAAGGAAUUCAAGGAUUUCUGAUUAGAGCAUGUUCCUCGGUUGCACAAUGAAGAGGCCAAUCGGUUGGCUCAACAAGCCUCAGGAUAUCAGCCCAUGAUAAACGCAGUAUCGGCAAUCAGUGCCGAUGAUUGGAGAAAAGAAAUCUUUGAUUACUUAAAGGAUCCAUCCAAGAAAGUUGAGAGGCGUGUUCGGUUUCAAGCUACCAAGUAUGUGCUCCUCGAAGAUGAAUUAUAUUAUCGAACUAUUGAUGGGAUUCUUCUCAGGUGCUUAGGUGAUGAUGAGGCUAGAAGUUUGAUGGGAGAGAUCCAUGAGGGGGUGUGUGGAGCACAUCAGUCGGCAUUUAAGAUGAAGUGGAUGAUCAGAAGAAAUGGUUAUUAUUGGCCGACUAUACUUGAGGAUUGCUUUAAGUAUUUCAAAGGGUGUCAAGGAUGUCAGAAGUUUGGCAAUGUCUAAAGAGCACCCGCAUCGGCCAUGAAUCCCAUUAUUAAACCUUGGCCGUUCCGAGGAUGGGCUAUUGACUUGAUCGGCCAGAUUUAUCCGCCAUCCAGCAAAGGACAUAAGUUUAUCUUGGUUGCCACCGAUUAUUUCACCAAGUGGGUUGAAGCUAUUCCUUUAAAGAAAGUUACAUCGGCCAAUAUGAUCGAUUUUGUGAAAGAGCAUAUUAUUUACCGAUUUGGAAUUCCUCAAACAAUUACUAUCGAUCAGGGUACUAUGUUCACAUGAGGGGAGUUUGAUGAAUUUGCAAUCGGUAUGGGAAUUAAAGUAUUAAACUCUUCUCCUUAUUAUGCUCAAGCUAAUGGGCAGGCUGAGGCAUCUAACAAAGGAAUUAUCAAGCUUAUUAAGUGGAAGAUUGAAGAAAAUCCUAGGAGGUGGCACACGUUGUUAAAUGAAGUUUAUGGUCGUAUCGGAUGGCUUGUCAUGGAUCGACCAAGGUUUCACCUUAUCAGUUGGUGUAUGGGCAUGAUGCAGUGUUACCUUGGGAAAUUAAGACUGGGUCUAGGCGACUAUCUUUUCAGGAUCAAUUGGCUGCCGAUGAUUAUGCUACUUUGAUGACAGACGAGUUGGAUGAUCUAGCAGGGCAUCGGCUAAGGGCUCUGAUGAGUAUAGAAGAGAAUAAGAAAAGAGUUGCUAGAUGGUAUGAUAAAAAGGUAAAAGCUAAGGAGUUUGUCGAUGGAGACUUAGUAUGGAAACUAAUCUUACUGAUCGGGACUAAAAGUUCAAAAUUUGGGAAGUGGUCUCCCAAUUGGGAAGGUCCCUAUCGGGUAAAUCGGUCUGCUCCUGGCAAUGCCUAUAUCUUAGAAACUCUCGAAGGAGUUGAAUUCCCCAGAGCAUUGAAUGGCAAGUAUUUAAAGAAAUAUCACCCAAGCAUAUGGGUUGAUGCAUAAGGGUUUAAAAUGCCAAUAACAUUCCUAUCGGCUAGAUCAAAGUGUGUCUGGGGCUAAACUCAAUGUUUUAAAAGGUGCCGAUAACAGUCCUAUCGGCUAGACCAAAAUAUCAGGAGGAUUGGAAAGAAGAGUGCAGGGUAUGUCGCCGAUGAAGAGUUCACAUGUUCAACAGCGCCUGGAUUGUCGAUAUAGCGCACAGACGGAUCUGGUUGGCUUCUUCUAUUUCCUUCACGUCAUCAUCGCCAGAACCUUCUAGUGGUUUCAGCUUCUUCUUCAUCUGUAGUGCUUGGUGGGCUUGGAUAUUUCGCUCUUGUUCAAGAAGCUUGAUCAUUUUAGGCAGCUGGCUUUCUUCUUGUUGGGCUUGAGAUAAGGCUUCUUCUACUUGUUUGAGUUCUGCCAACAGGGCUUCCCUUCUCGCCGAUAGAUCAGAAAUCUUUUGCUUCAAUACAUCUCCUGAGGAUGUCAAAAUGCCGAUGUUCUUGUGCUUCUCAUCGGCAAGGAGCUUUAUUUUCAUCAUCUCCUCAGAGAGCUGAGCGUGAGCAGCUCUAUCGGCAAGACGCUGGGUAGCCUUUUGGUACUGCAAUUGACGACUCUCUAGGUGUGCAGCUUGAAAAAGGAUUUCUCGGCAUCGGCGGGGAUUUGGCCUCUGAGGGUCUUGAACAAGGCCUUGGCUAGGUCGGAGUCAUCGACCAACUGGGCUGUGUCUUGAUGGAGGAGGGCUGAUAAUUCUUCUAACUUUGCCCUGAUUUCUGCCGAUGUGAUCCCAACUGCUCGAGAAGAACUUGCCUCCUCGCCUUCAUCCUCAGAGAUGUCGAUGGCAAAGGAGAACAAGCUGUCAGGAGAGUCUUGUUCCUGAAAAAGAAAAUAAAAUAAGUUAUUCUAUGAUCAAGCACUGGUAAACAAUACGGGUAGAGAUCGGGUAACUUACUUGUUUCAGAGCUAUCUCUCACCUCUGACCGAUUGAAGCCGAUGGAAUUACGGGCUGAUCGGCUGGAGUUGCCGAUGAGAUUAUGUCAGCUGAAAGGGUAACAGAGAUAAUUAUAAGACGGAAGAGUAGGUUCAUUGGCAAUGAUGAGUAUGUUACCUUGAGGGGGAGCAAUACUUGUUUGGAUUGAGGAAACUACCGAUGCUAUAAUUGAACUUGCUGGAUCGGCAGUUUGCUCGUGCACGUCAGCCGAUGUGUCUUCUGGCUGGGGUUCUUCUGCAUGAGGUUCUUCUUGUAGCUGAGGAGGAGAUGGUGCUUGUUGUAUUUGAACUUCUGGAGAUGAAGGAGAAGAUUCCACUGGGAUUGGAGACACUGGGGGAGGGGAAGGUAUUGCUGUCUUCCGGCGCUUCGCCUGGGUUCUGGUGCUCUUGGAGCUUUUCCUCUUUGGUUGGCUGGACUGGGGAGCAUCGGCUGUCACACCUCUAAUCUUUACCGAUGUGUCGGUUUGCUGAUACAAUAAUGAAAAUUUGUGAGUGCAAGUGUAACAGAUGUAAGAAGGGAAUCGGUAUGGGUAAAAGAAUUUGAAAAUUUACCUUGAAGGCUUGUGCUAAAGUAGAGGCAGCUACCGAUGGAGAUGCCUUCGUCCGCUUGGUGGCAACUUUCUUGAGACGUGCACCCCGAUGCAUUAUAGCGGCUAGGGAUGGAGAGUUGUUGCCGAUCAAAGAAAUCGGACCUGAUGGAAGGAGCUCAAUCGGCUUACCACUCCUGCUCACCGAUGGGGGUGUGUUAUCAACCUAUAAUAUAACAACAGAAAGUGAGUUACCGAUGAAAGUAAAAGUGAAAUUGAAACAUCGGUUUGAAAAUACUUACAGUAUUAUCGGGGACUCUGUACUGAGGGUCGAUCAUGCCGCGGCACGUGAGAGCCGAUUUGCAGAACAAAUGCUCUUUCCAUUCUUCCCACCAUUGUUUGUAUGCCUGAGUAAUGAAGAGGGCUGGGAUCCAAUCUGAUAGAUCGGCGUCUAUAUCGGCAUUUGGUGGCAGUUGAGCUAUUCUGGUCCACUCGAGAAGACUAGUGAUGAUUUCCCUGGGUUUUAUCACAUUGGCAUAACAAAGUGCAAUCGGCAGCUGACCGAAAGCUAGUUGACGAGCUAGUGCCAAUGGGUUGUAGAAUUCGUAGGUCUGGAUGGAAGCUUUUCCACCACCAAAGAAGUUAACUGGUAUGGCUCUUGGGGUGAUGAUUGCCAUCAUCACAUCGUGAUCCUUAUUGAGAGCAUCAUUGAACGGAUGGAAGACCAAAGGAAAUCUGGUGUCCGGAUCUUCAUAAGGCAUCCAUGCUCACUGUUCUCUGGUCAGGCCUUCGUACAGGGUCUGAAAGAAUCGGCUAACCUGGUCUGCGUUACCACCUGUACCAGGUAAAACUAUGGCAGCCUCGCCAAAGUUCAGAGGAGGACGAGUUGCCGAUUCUUCUUCAUCCAAUUCAUAAUCCUCGGCUAUGUCCCUGGAGAAGCAUUGUGCGAAGAGGUCGAACUCAAGACGCUUGUGCAUAUGGAGGCUAAGCCACAUAUUGAUGAACCACCAGGGACCCCCUAAGUUGCCGAUGGGUUGGCUGAGCAUGAGUUUCUUGGCUACUUGAUGGAGGAGGUGGUAAGUCGAGCCGAGCAAGUAUCGGCCGAGGGGAAAUCGGCCACCAUUAGCUAAUCUUUCUGCUGCUGCUAAGUAGACAGAAGUUGGUCUGCCGAUCGGCCACAAAAUACAAAUUUAUCCAACCACAUGUUCAGGAAGGUGGUUUGUUCCUUUAUGUUGACAGGCCCUGUUCUACGGUAUUUUUGGAUGUACCCAGACCAACCGCCGAUAGAACGGGUUUCCACUUUAGCACUAGGUGUGGUGUCAAAUAUGUGACUACUAUCGGCAGUGGAUAUAUCUAAGUCGGUGAGCAUUGAGCACAUCGGCAAGAGUGGGAGAAGCAGGGCCAUGGCCGAAAACAAAAGCAUUAAGUGUGUCUGACCAGAAAUAUGAUGCAGCAAUUAGCAGUGAUUCAUUCCUAUGCAUAUCGGCAAGAGACAGUCUACUGGUCCAGUUUUUGCUCGCCCCAUUGAACUUCAUUUGAAUGGCUGACUCUCAAGAACCAAUCCUUCCAUCCCUUGGUAGGACUGGGCCAAGAGCGGAAGGUAUCUUUCCACAGAUCUAGAGAAAAGUUCUCGGCUCUAAAGGGGAUUCUGUUUGUCUCUGCGUUGAUCAGAUCGGUAGGAUCUGGGUUCCCUAGUGGAUCGAGACAUUGGAGGUGUGGUUGAUCGGUAGGGAUGACAAUUCUAUUGGACAGAUCCUAAUAGUUUUUGGGGGUAAAAAGAAGAACAAAAGAAAAAAAAGGUAUUCAGUAAGAUGAACUGCGGAUGAACAGGAGUGCAGUAAAAAUACAAGAGAGAAGUAGAACUGACCUCAGGCACGAUGAAGUUGACGGCCAUCUCCUAGAAGGGGAGAAGAUUGAGAAAUUGGGGGUUGUUGGAGGAGGUUCUUGUUGAAGUUCUUGGAGCUCUCGAACAGUGCCGCCGCUAGAAAAGUAGAGUUGGGGCUGUAGAAUGAUGCGAUGGAGAAGGAGUACACGAGAAGGAACUAUUUAUAGGACAAAACGGGCAAGGGCAAAUCUGACUUAUCUCUUCGUCGUAUCCAUGAAAUUCAAGGAUACUCAGGUGGAUAUGGUAACUGUUCGCAUGGUAAUCAAGGGAUUGCGCAGGUGGUUUGACAGGAAGCGGUCAUAAUCUAGAGAUAUUUCACUGUGCGGGAUUUCCUGGUCGGUCCAUCGGUAGCUCCUUCUAACGGUAAUAUUGCCGAUGGGCGAAUAAAGUGGAGAUGUCCAGCUUGGGAGGUUGAGGAAUUCGAGGGAUCUGCGGAAGAAUCGGGCCAGAGUUGUUCGAUUUCAACGGUCGGUUACCAAAUUGAGAGGAUUAAUUGCGGAAAGGCAUCAUUACUGCAGAGAAUUUUGGAGCAUUAAUGAUUUUAUACUCCGAAAUUGGGGGGCAUGUGUUGACACCGUUUUUGGACACAUACCCAGGAUCGGUAGAGUAUAGAUCGGCAAGAUAGGGCAACAGUAACUGGUCUGCAGGGGAGUUGCCGAUGAAGGUGGUUGCCGAUGAAGGGACGGCUGAAUGUGACUAAGUCUAUGAGUGGUGACGCGUUCAUGCCGAUGGUCAGCAUUAGCCUUGUCGAUGGCUACGAUGAGGAGUCUGCCGAUGACUUAGAAGGAGAACAUGAAGGUUGCCGAUUGGUCCAUGGUAGUGUCCCAGUUUGUCACGGGAGGAUAGUUUUGUGCUUUCCUUAGUUAUUUAAAUCGUUUUAUAUACGGAUUCUGUUUAAUUUGGAAUUCGAGUCCUAGUCGUGUCUGAUUGUAGCUCUUUGAGCAGGGUAUAAAUGUAGACCCUCGGGCCUUGUAAUCAAUCAAUCAAACACAAGUUUUUACUCAUAUUCCAGCAUCUACUAUUUCGACGACUUCGUCAUAUUUUCCUUUUUAUUACGAGUUCUUAGGAGUUCGUCGACUUAAGCUCGGCGUAUUCUCGAGUUCCGUGUGAAUACCUCUUGGCCGUGGCAUCCGGGCGCAUCGCUGUUGUCAGGACCAAAGUAUUCGAGUUAUCACCUUUGCCGAUAGUAAGGUCAAAUCGGCUGGCACGCCUUAACGUUUGAAAUCGGGUAUUAGCCCUUUGUGUUUGCAGAUCCACUUUUGCAUCAACAACAAUAAAACAAGAACUUACUAGAAUUUAGAAGUCGAAAUACUGAAGAAUCCUAGGAGCAAGCUUUGGGUUAGGAGAACUUGAUCCCGCAUGUACAAACUCGGAGUAGACACUGACAGGCCGGGCUUCCUCCGAUCUACACCUCCACUCUAUCUCUCUCAAUCUAGUAGAAACUAGAAGAUCUAUUUCUACUCACAUUGGUUGCUAAGCCUAAAAUGAAAUUUUAUUUACAGGAGAGAUUUUCCUUCGAGGGCUCCUCUCAACUCUAUGAUGAACUUGUCUCCUCCAGGGGCCAGGGGGUCUGGUUUUAUAGUCCCCUCAAGUGAACGUGAGCCGUUGGAUCAAACCGACAUUGAUUGGACGAUUAUCCUUAAUCCUUUAGGUCGGUGGAGCAUCGUCCGCGAAAAGAGUCCUGAACCAAGUCCAGGAGGGGGCGGGCGCCCAGGUCAACUGGGCGAGCGCCCAGUGACUGGCCCCGUUCGGCCUCCGCUUCCUUCCCGUGGCUUCUGGAGUCUUCUAGAUGGUAGAAAAUUGCGCGGUGUGUUGAUAUCUCUAUGUAAUCCCGACAUGUGGGCCUUUCUUCCUUAUUUCCUUAUAACCCCCUGCAGAAACAGAUAAACAACAAAACUCGUCGAAUUCUGUCAGAUUAAACCCUAAUUCUAGGUGUUGUUUGCAUAUUGGUCCUUUCUCUUGUUUAUUUGAUAAUUAAAAUUGAUACUUAAGAACCGUCAACAAAUACCCCCAUACUUAGGCUUUUUCUCGUCCUCCAGAAAAGGAUGGUUAAGAACAAUAUCUGGGGUAAAACAUUUUUAAAACAUUCUCUUCAUAACUGCGGGGUGUUAAAAUCCACUAUGUACUAUAGUCAGGGAAGUAUAUGGUUAAGAGUAAAGAUCCUUUCUUCUCAAUCCUGUCACUUGGAGUUUUUGUAUAUUUUUUAAAAGAAAGUUAGCAUACCUUUUAUCCUCAUAGGUUCUCUCAGAUCACUCAUUAUCUUUUAUAUAUCUCACUGAGGCUGUUUUAAUUUGCAAAAAUUCUCAAGCAUACUUACUUUGUAUUUAUUGCCUGAUCAAAACGGGAUCCGAGGAGGGGAAUGUCAUACUCUUAGAUCAAAGACUUUGGAAAUUAAAAUCUUUGUCAACUCUUGCUGGCAUAUUGCUUAUUAGAGGGACCAUGGGCUAUCAUUUUCUCUUUUUUUCUCUUCUCUCUUUUCUUUUUUUAAGUGGAUACCGAGGUACCCCUAAUUCUACUGCUGGACACUUGUCCAUUUUUUCUGCAAGGUUGUCGAGCACUUGCUCCUUUUUAUUUCCUCGAAAUAUCUUUAUUUUUGCAUAGCCGAUGCCUCUAAUGCAAUAAUACUUCGGAAGAGUGAAUCUUUCUGAAUAAAUGUCUUGAUCUUAGGAGCAUGAUGAAUCUCUCAACAAGGGUCUAACUCAUUGAACAAACUCAAUACAGAGUAGAUAGCUUCUAUAAUCAUAAUUAAUAUUUUCAGGUUUAUCAGGCAUAUAAAACAUUGAGGAUGGUAGCUAUAAAUUUUUUGAAUAAAUUCUCCAAGCAACAAUGAUAUCAAGAAUAAGAAACUCAUACUCUACCGUCUCACAUUCCACAAUGACUUAAGUAACACAGGGUUUUAAAAUGAUUUUCAAUAAUUCCAAGUUUCAGGAAAUAUCACAGAGUGAGAUUAAUCAUGUUUAGAAACAUUUUAAUCUUUUUAAUUUAUCAUGUCGGAAACAAUAUUCUGCAUAAUCUAAGAUAUAUAUGAGUAUGUGUAAAAUGUGCAGAGUGUGUACCUGAAUCGUGGAGCGGUGUAGUCGAAGUGUGUUUGGCAUGUCGAGGGAUCUCCCCCAUACUUGUUUUCUGCUUUCUUGCACAAAAAUAAAGUAGAGACACACAAGACAUAAUAAUAAUAAUAAUACUCUUUAUUAAUCUUGAGGCAUUUAUUACAAAUGACUAGUAGCAAACUGACGAUAAUAGUAAACCUAAACCAAAUUUAAAGAUAGAUAACUAAAAUGCAUUGCCUCAAGGUCUAAUCUAGAUAACUUAGCGGCGCUCUAACUCCUUAAUCUUCUUAAUGGCACUAGCAAAAUCCUGCCUAAGGCCUAGUAUAACGGUGCUGUGGUUAGAGAGCUGCCUAGUGAGGGAAUUAACCGAGGACUAGAGGUCUAUGAUAACUCUGUCUAGCCUGCGAACGUCCUCAUCAAUAUCUACUAUAGUCUUGCGACGCUUGGGAGGUGUCUCAAAAGCAUUGAGAGCAUGCUUCAGGGCUACCUUUGGAGGGAUGAAACGGACUUUGGCUGCUCUAAUCCCUUCGAAGUAAGGUCUCUCCUCCUCCGUAGUGUAGCGAAUGCUACUGAUCUCACUGCUCCGGUUGGUCUUGACUCCAAUGACCCUCUCAUUGGGUCUGGGUGGAAGGAUCCUUGUGCCGGUUGGCACCUUGAUGGUGGUCUUCGUCUUGGAUGAUGAUCCCUUGAGGAGUAGGGGUUGUGGCUGUGUGGUGAGAACUGGUUGAGCAUGAUAGGAUUGGGCGGAGCUGCGUUGGCAUAAUGGCAUGGCUUCUAGCUGUCGCUCUGUGUUGGCCGGGACGAGAGCACGGGCGUCGGGGUCUUCCGCAGGAUCCAUGUUGAGGUUGAAGGGGACGACUUCCCAAUCAUCGUGGAACUUCUCGGCCAUAGGAGCAGCGAGGGACUAAACAAGCUCUAAUUGAAGAAGAAGAGAAGGCUUGGUGGAUUGGUGUUUGAAAACUAAUGUCAGGGGUCUGUUUAUAUAGGGGUCAAAAAGUGCCUCUAGGGGUUGUUCUGGUUGCUCCCGUCGAUGUACGUGAGAAACUUUCCAUCUGAGGGAUUAUUCAGAUUACCAUAAGUGUAUUUUCCAUAACAGAGAAAAUCGGGACCGAGGGGGAACAGGGGCUGGGCGCCCGCCCACUUGAUCAGGGCGCCCGCCCUCUCUCUGGCUCCGCUGCGGGCCAGCUUCCUCGAGCGUGUUUCUAGAUGCAGACUUAAUUAGGAAAAUAUAUAUAUGACCCCAAAACGUCAGACUAAAAAGGUCAGGCUCUAAUUCUCUAUGGGAAGGAAAAAAUGGAUUACGUCUAUUUCUUCUAAAUCUUUAUUGGGCUCCAAAAAUAAUUUCAGACGUUGACCAUUUACCUUGAAUAACGUACCUUCAUCAUUUUGAAGUGUGAUAGCUCUGUGAGAUGAUGAAUUGAUUACCUUGAAUGGUCCUUCCCAUUUGCUCUGGAGUUUUCCAUGCCCAAAAAGCUUCACCCUGGAAUUAAAAAGUAAUACUUUAUCUCCGGGUGUGAACUCCUUCUUGAUUCUCUUGUCAUGCCACCUUUUGACUCUUUCUUUGUAGAUCUUCGAAUUGUGAUAUGCUUUCUCUCGCCAUUCUUCCAAUUCUGAUAGUUGCAUUCUUCUAUGAUCUCCAGCAACAUCUAGGUCUAUAUUCCAUCUCCUUAUGGCCUAGUGUGCUUUGAAUUCUAGUUCAACAGGUAGGUGGCAAGUCUUCCCGUACACCAAUAGGUAUGGAGACAUUCCAAUUGGGGUCUUGUAUGCUGUCCGGUAUGCCUAGAGUGCAUCGGGUAACUUGUCUUUCCAUGCCGUUCCAAUUUCAUUCACUGUCUUCUGAAGAAUAUUCUUGAUUUGCUUCUUGGAAGUCUCUGCUUGGCCACUUGUCUGAGGAUGGUAGGGAGUAGCGACGUUGUGACGGAUUCCAUGUUUUGAUAGAUAUUGCUUGAAGCGUUUGUCGAUGAAGUGUGCUCCUCCAUCACUUAUCACUACUCUGGGGACUCCAAAUCUUGUAAAUAUAAUUUCUUCAAACAUCCUCUUUGAACUGAUGUUGUCGGCAUGCUUGCAUGGUAGUGCCUCUACCCACUUGGAGACGUAGUCAACUGACACCAAGAUGUACUCACACUUCUUUGAUGGAGGAAAUGGACCCAUAUAGUCUAUUCCCCAGACAUCAAAGAGCUCAAUUUGAAGGUUGUUGGUGAGUGGCAUUGCAUCCCUUGUGUUUAUGUUUCCAUGCCUUUGACAUGGCCCACAUCUUCUGAUAUAUUGCUUCGUGUAUUCAUACAUUGUAGGCCAGUAGAAUCCACACUGCCAGAUCUUUGAAUGUGUACGGAAUGCUCCAUAGUGACCUCCAUAUGGUGAUGAAUGACAUCUGUCGAUGAUCUUCCAUCCUUCCUCGGUGGUCACACAUCUCCUGAGUAAGCCAUCAGAGCAUACUCGGAAGAGGUAUGGCUCAUCCCAUAUAUGUGAACGACUUUCUUGAAUAAGCUUCUUCUUGUUUUCUCCUGGUGGUACAUACCCUGAAACCAUAAAAUUAACAAUAUCUGCAUACCAGGGGUCAGACCUGUUAAUCCCGUAGAGCAUGUCGUCCCGGAGUGAAUCAUUGAUGGGGGUUUCCUGUGGACUCUUAAAAUACGUAUUUUAGACAAGUGAUCAGCAACAGAAUUUUCUACUCCCUUUUUACCUUUUAUUUCUAAGUCAAAUUCUUGGAGUAAUAAGAUCCAUCUAAUCAGGCAAGGUUUAGCAUCUUUUUUAGUGAGCAAAUAUUUUAGUGCAGCAUGAUCAGUAUAAACAAUUAUUUUAGCUCCAACUAAAUAAGAUCUAAAUUUAUCAAUGGCAAAGACAACAGCCAGAAGCUCUUUUUCAGUGGUUGCAUAAUCAAGUUGAGCUCCUGUCAAAGUUUUACUGGCAUAAGCAAUUGCAUGAUGCUUCUUAUCUUUAGUUUGUCCCAAUACUGCCCCCACAGCAUAAUCACUAGCAUCACACAUAAUUUCAAAAGGCAACGACCAAUCAGGGGGUUGAAUGAUUGGUGCAGAGAUGAGUGCUUUCUUUAAUAAAUUGAAAGAUGUUAGGCAUGCAUCAUCAAAUUCGAUAGGAGCAUCCUUGGCUAGCAAAAGAGUAAGUGGUCUAGCAAUGAAUGAAAAAUCUUUUAUGAAUCUACGAUAAAAACCAGCAUGGCCAAGAAAUCUUCGAUUUCCUUUUAUAUUCACAGGUGGAGGUAGUUGUUCAAUUACUUCAAUUUUAGCUUUGUCUACCUCAAUACCUCUUUCAGACACUAGGUGUCCCAGCACUAUUCCUUCCCUAACCAUGAAAUGACAUUUUUCCCAAUUAAGGACUAAGUGCUUUUCUUCACAUCUUUGCAAAACCUUGUCUAAGUUUUCAAGACAACUAUCAAAAGUUUUUCCAUAAACAGAGAAAUCAUCCAUGAAAACUUCCAUAAUCUCUUCAAUCAUAUCAGAAAAUAUAGACAUCAUGCAUCUUUGAAAAGAAGCUGGUGCAUUACAUAACCCAAAAGACAUUCUACGGUAAGCAUAAGUUCCAUACGGGCAUGUAAAAGUGGUUUUGCUUUGAUCAUCAGGAUGGAUCGGGAUCUGAUGAUACCCUGAAUAUCCAUCUAAGAAACAGAAGCACGAAUGGUUCGCUAAUCGCUCUAGCAUCUCAUCUAUGAAAGGUAAAGGAAAAUGAUCCUUUCUCGUGGCUUUGUUUAGUUUUCUAUAGUCUAUGCACAUCCGCCAUCCUGUGACGGUGCGUUGCGGAAUUAGCUCGUUCUUUUCAUUCAUAAUAACAGUCAUGCCUUCCUUUUUAGGCACAACUUGAACUGGGCUCACCCACUCACUAUGCGGCACAGGAUAUAUAAUCCCUGCAUGCAGCAACUUUAUAACUUCCUUUUUAACUACCUCUCUCAUAGUAUUGUUAAGUCUACGUUGGGGUUCUCAAGAAGGUGAAACAGAAGGACCAGUCGGAAUACGAUGGGUAAAAAUCAUAGGACUGAUUCCUGUAAGAUCUUGGAGUGAGUAGCCGAAAACAGAGUGAUGUUUCUCAAGAAUGGUCAUUAAUCGCAGAGUUUGCUCCUGAGUGAGUUUAUCACUAAUGAUCACAGGAAACUCUAGAUUAUUGUUUAGGAAAGCAUAGAUAAGACCAGGUGGUAAAGUUUUAAGCUCUAUGGGAAGUCUAGGUGUUUCUGCAAACUCAUCUAAGGGUUCAGGUUCAGAAGGUUUAGCUUCUUCUUCUGUGACGAAAGGAGCUUCGUCUUCUAAGUCUGGUUUUUCUAAAAGCUCUAGAGAUGCAGCCUUUACCUCCUCCAUAGGAUUAGCCAAAAGAUAUGACUCGGCCUUAUUGUUUAAGGAGUGUGAAAUUGUUAUGGGAAAUUUAAAGGUUUUUCCAAAAGAAAUGUGUAGCUUUCCAGUAUGACCUUCAUAAAGGAGUCUUCUAAAAGGUUGUCUUAUCAAUAGGUCGAAGUCCCAUGUAUCAAAGAUAUAGAAGUUCAAAUGAACCAUGGAGCCUUCCACCGUAAGAGGUAGGACAUUAAUAAUUCCAAGACUGGGGACAAAUCGUCCCGAAGAUUCCUUUAUGACCUUUGUUGUGGGGGUUAAGAACAAGUUUUUAAAUAGUUUAAGUGCAAAAGAUUCAGACAUGAUGUUGAUCCCCACAACAGGAUUAUAGAGAGCAUUAAAUCAAUCAGAAUUAUAAGCACAGCGUAUAGUUAUAGAGGGUGUGUCCAAACGGAUCACAUUAGAGGAAAGCUCUGAUUCCUCCAACCACUCGCUACUCAUGACUGAGAUAAGCUCUCUUAAUUGAUAUUCACUUGGCAAAUAAAUGCUAAACUGGCCGUUUUGGGGUUUGUCAAUAGAAUGGUAGUUUGAAAUGUUUCCAAAAUCGGCAAAAAGAUCAGAUUCUAUAUCCAGCAUGAAGUCUGGUGGUGGAAUUUCUUCCUUUUGUGGCUCAGAACCUGGGAUAGCUAAAGUAGAUGAAGAAUUUGGCAGAGUGUCUACUUCGGCUUCAUUGGUUUCAUCAUGAAGGGUAUUAUCUAUCUCAGCUUCUAGGAUUCUAUCUAAGAUCACUCUAGCUUCAUCAGUAGGGAUGCGAAAGAAAGAACCUCUAGACAUUGUAUGUAGCAUUUGUUUAUGAUCUUUCUGAAGACCUCGAAAAAAGUGAAAUAAAAGAACAGGGUCUUCAAGAUUAAGGUUUGGACCAGAUUCUAAAAGAUCAGAAAAACAUUUCCAGGAUUUUCCCAAAGUUUCAUUAUCUUUUUGUUUAAAAGAUAGGACUUCGAGUCUAAGGUCGCCGAUACAGUCGAGGGAAUAAAAAUCUAGACAAAAGUUGGCUCGUAAAACUCCCCAUUCACCUCGUUGUUGACUUACCUUCUGACUGUACCAUUGUCUAGCUUCUCCCCUUAAAGAAAAAGGAAAAAGCUUCCAACAUAAAGUUUUAUCAGAAAUGCCUUCAAUGCGAAGACAAUCACAUGUUUGCUCAAAAUCUCUAAUACGAAGGUAAGGGUUUUCGUCUUCCUUUCCCGAAAAAGAUAGGUUUUGAAUCAUGGCAAUCAACCUAGAACUUAACUUAUACUGGGAUGUUUGGAUAGGCUGUGAUGACUCCCAUGGUAAAAGGUCAUUUUCCGAAGGUGUUGCAAAUUGGUAGAUUGAUUUAGAAUCUUGGUUUUCCAUAAGGUAAGAGUAAAGAAAAUAAAUACAGAAUAUAAAACAUAAGAAAAGAUAAAAGUAUAGAUACAAGCUAGUAGUAAGACUCAAGGUUAUCUCAGCAAACCGUCUUUCUCCCCGGCAACGGUGCCAGAAAUGCUUGUUGAUAUUUGGGAACGCAAUAAGGAAUUGAUCCGCAAGCGCACAGAUAUCGGUGAGCACUUCACCCGGGAGGUUAUCCAGAGUAUCGUAUUUAUUUUUUUACCACUAGGAGAAAGAGUGCAUCUGACUAACCUGGUCUAUUACUACUAACCCUUUAGGUAACAAAGAAUGUUUCUCGAUGUGAGUGAUAAAUAGAGAAGACUACAACCGUAAUCUCCUUCUAACCUUGGUAAGGAUGAUCUACUGUUCUAUUGGGGAGGUUAAUGGAAUCUAGACACCACAGAGGAUGUUCAACCCGCACCUAUAAACCCUAUCCUUCCUGCUAACGAGAUAUGGUCUUCAAAGGUAACUCAGAAAUGUCACGUUCCUCGCUACUACCACGGUCCAGCUAGUCAGGGAAUAUCUAUGAGUAUCCUAGCCUAAACACCACGUCUAUGCUAGAGAUGAUUACUCUAAACUCUACGCGAAGAGAUUAAAGUAAACUCAUAAACCAAAAGAAAAAUAAAACAAGAACUUACUAGAAUUUAGAAGUCGAAAUACUGAAGAAUCCUAGGAGCAAGCUUCGGGUUAGGAGAACUUGAUCCCACAGGUACAAACUCGGAGUAGACACCGACAGGCCGGGCUUCCUCCGAUCUACACCUCCACUCUAUCUCUCUCAAUCUAGUAGAAACUAGAAGAUCUAUUUCUACUCACAUUGGUUGCUAAGCCUAAAAAAGAAAUUUUAUUUAGAGGAGAGGUUUUCCUUCGAGGGCUCCUCUCAACUCUAUGAUGAACUUGUCUCCUCCAGGGGCUAGGGGGUCUGGUUUUAUAGUCCCCUCAAGUGAACGUGAGCCGUUGGAUCAAACCGACAUUGAUUGGACGGUUAUCCUUGAUCCUUUAGGUCGGUGGAGCGUCGUCCGCGAAAAGAGUCCCGAACCAAGUCCACGAGGGGGCGGGCGCCCAAGUCAACUGGGCAGGCGCCCAGUGCCUGGCCCCGUUCGGCCUCUGCUUCCUUCCCGUGGCUUCUGGAGUCUUCUAGAUGGUAGAAAAUUGCGCGGUGCGUUGAUAUCUCUAUGUAAUCUCGACAUGUGGGCCUUUCUUCCUUAUUUCCUGAUAACCCCCUGCAGAAACAGAUAAACAACAAAACUCGUGGAAUUCUAUCAGAUUAAACCCUAAUUCUAGGUGUUGUUUGCAUAUUGGUCCUUUCUCUUGUUUAUUUGAUAAUUAAACACUACUAGAAAUGUGUUCAUCAAUGACGAAUCACUAAUGACGCUUACUAUUUUCGUCACAGAACUAGGUCAUUCGAUGACGAAAUUAGUAGCUUCGUCAUGGUUUAUAAGUGACGGAGCUUUGGCACGAAGGACAGUGACGAAAAUGUAAACAACGUCACUGAUCAUCAAAACUAAAUCAUCAUAGAUUGUCUGGCCAGUGUCACCACCUUGAGGAGGAGGGGUUGUGGUCCCACUAGUGGGUUCCAUGUUCAUGACGUGGCGCCUUGGUCCCACCUUUGUGUGCCAUGACGUUGACACAGGCGCCACGGUCCCACCAGCGGGUCCUACACCCUAGUGAUGUGGCGCCACGGUCCCGUCGGCGGGUCCCACAAUCAUGAGGUGGGGCAUGGUCCCACCAACGGGUUCCACCCGUCAUGACGUAGCGCCGUGGUUCCACCGUGGUCCAAUUGGCGGGUCCCACCCUGUUGACGUGGCAAUAGGAUCCUAGGCGUGGUCCUGCUAGUGGGCCCCACAUCUGAUGUGGCCAUGCGGGGCUGAAUCUGGUGCGUGGAGUUCCCCCUUUGUUUUUUAUUUUAUUUGGCAAAAAAACAUGCUCAAUAGGAGCUUGGAUCCCACAACCUCUUGCUAUGGGCACAAGUGACUCACCACUAGACCACUCACAUGUUUGUGUUGUAGACUUGUAUGUUGCUUUAUUUAUUUAGUUAUUAAACCCAACUCUACCUUUUUUAUUUCCCAAAAAAAUUAAAAAACCCUCUGGUGUGGUCCUGCUAGUGGGCCCCACGUCUGCUGCGCGAAGUUUCCCCUUUGAUUUUUAUUUUAUUUGGCAAAAAAACAUGCUCCAUGGGAGCUUGGAUCCCACAACCUGUUGCUGUGGGUGUAACACCCCAGUGUUAUGGUUGCAUUAAUCAUGUGCAUAGCAUGAGCAUCAUCAUCUACUCAAAGCAUAUCAUGAUCAUCAUCUAUCUUGAGCCAUGUCAUUCUAUGCAAAUAAGUGAUCUAAAUUGCUUAAAUAGGCUUUCUAUGCUUAUGUUUGAGUGAACCAUGCUUGUGUUUGUGCUCUGUGCCUUGGUAAUUAGUUUAUCUAUGCUUAACUUAACCUUGGGAACAAUGUUCAUGUUGAUCACUUCUCCAAAAUAAUCACUUAAGUCAUACUUAUGCUAAUGGGCCCUAGAAUCCUCUUUUCCUUAGGCUUUUAAAAAGUGUUUCAUAAAACAUUUGCAUAUCAAAACUUUCUAUAGAAAAGUUGUAGCACAUUUUAUAAGGAACAAAAGUUGUUUUAUGGCCAUCUCAUGAAAAUGAUCACAAAUAGCUCAAAAUUGACCCACAAGGCAGAUUUGGGGUUGUUUCCAACACUUAGGAAAUUUUCUAAGUCCUGGAACGAAACCAGUUUGCUUGAUCGAUUUUGAAAACUCCAUAUCUUUUAAUCCAGGCCGAUCUGGCUUUUGCUCUAGUUGACAAUGUUGUAGAACUCGAUUGGAACUCCAACUUUGUCAACUACACCAUCUCCUAACUCGCUCUGGUUUGGAAGUUAUUCAUCGCUCAAGUCACUCUGUCAGACCCAGAUCGCGUCGCUUGAUUCAGAGAGGAGCUCGCCGUCGGGAAUGUCCAGAGCGCCACCUGUCCGCCAGAUGGCGCCCGUACGCCGGCGAUGGCCCCGCUCGUCAGCUCCCAGCGCGCGCAUGUCAUCCACGGCGACGCCUUGAGCGGAGUGGAUGCCUUGAUUCAGAGAGGAGCUCGCCUCUCUGCCUCGCCUCUCUCGCCAGAAGAGCACCCGCAGCGAGCUCACCGUCGCGAGCUCACUCCGGCGAGCUCGUGUGCGCUCCUUGCUACGUCUCAGUCCACCAAACUUCACCCACAGCUCCGCAGUGAGCCGCUCUUCACUCUCCACCCUCUAGCUCGCCGCGAAACCCACCGGUGAGCCGCCAUUUCCUUCUUCCCCCAAAUCGGGUCGCCGUGGUCAUCUUUUCCGGCGAGCUCAAUGCUGGGCUCCUUAGGGCCUCUCGUCUCCUUUGGUUAGGUUCUAGAGGUAGCUUAGGUUCUUAGCUAGUGGUUGCACCUCUCGGGGAACGCUCUACCGAACCCACCGUCGCCGGACACGAUGCGCAGCGCCGCCGUAUUCCGCCGGAGUUGGGGUCUCUCGUGGCCAGCGUGUUCCACGACGUUUCAAGCCAAGCCGCUUACCUAGGAAGCUUCACCGUAGUCCGUUGAUGCUGUAGGAGGCCUUAGGUCGCGCUCUACCGGCCUGAGUGCUCCGGCGUAACGCCGAGCACCUCCGCCGAGCCGCCAUGAUCGACGACGAGCCCCUUCCGGUGGCUCCGCCGUGGGGAAAAGGGCAUCAAUCGAGUCGCUAGAGUCUGGGGAUCACGUUGGUGCCCUUAGUUUGGCCGGAGACCUCGCCGUCGCGGAGAAAUCGCCGGCGAGAGUCGCCUCGGCCGUGAGGGAGAAGAACCUGACAUGCAGGGCCCGCUGUCAGUGUCACCUCCCUUCCCUCCUUUUCUUUUAUUCAAAUCUGGAUUUUUGGCUUUCUUGCAAAAAUCAUAUCUCCUGUUUUCGAGAUCCAAAAAUGGUGAAACCAAUUUUGUGGUAUUCCUUGAGAUGGCUAGUUUUUAAUAAAAAUAUAAAAUGAACCAUGUUUUCUGGAAAAAUAUUUAUUAAGGAUUUAAUCUUGUUAUUCAUGAGUAAACUCAUAUCUUUUUUUAUACUGUUUAGUUUGCUCUGAAAAAUUUUAUGGUAGUCUCUGUGUGAUACUAGAAUGCUAUGAUAAAUAUUUCAUGAUUUUUGGAGUACUGCAGCUUUGUUAUGUAAUUUAUGAUUGAAAUUUGGCUUGUUUCUUUAAUCAAAUUAUGUAAAAUAAUUGGUGUUUAUGCUGGUGCUCUAUUUUGGUGGUAAACUUGUUUAUGGCAUUCAUAAUAUGUAAAUAAUCUAAAAUCUGUUGUUUGACACUAUAUAAGUCAUGUUUCUAAAUUUAUGAAAUAAACACCUUGUCACAUGUUAAAUGCAUAUCUUUAAUUUGGUAUGUGCAAUUGCUCUGAAAUUUUUAUGGUGAUUCCUUGAUGCUACACUUGUGCCUCUGUAAUUUUUGUAGAUUUUUCUGAGCACCUUGAUCAGUAUCUUGUAAUUAUGCUCCUUUCUAGAAUUAAUUAAUAAAUGCCUUGUUAAGUAAAUGUUUGAGGGUGAUCAUCUGAUGUUCUGGUAACCUUGUGAUAUGCUUGUGCUCAUAAGCCAUGUGGUUGGCAUGGUUUAUGUUUUGGUUGUGUCAUCAAAUAAUUAAUUAAAGGGUUAAAGGAUGUUCUGGACAGCAAGGGAGUAAUUUAACUUUUGCUUGAUGAUAACUUGGUUUUCUGGGAAACUUGUCUAAAUAAAAGUUGUUGUAAACUUAAUGAACUAGCUGUGAUUUAAAUUUGGGAUCAUUUGGUCCAGUAGUUUUGAAGUUAUGAUCUUUCCAAGUGGGGUUCCAGAAAUAGGUGUUUUCUGUUUUUCUGGAACAGAACCGGGAACUUUGUUUAAAUGACUUGUUUAAUGUAUGAAUCUGGCUGUAAUGUUUAAAGAUGAAUUGUAGACAAUUUCAUAAGCUUUCCAAAAUGUCCUCCCUCAUGUUUGUUGGAUCUGCCUAGCACUAGUUAUGAUCUGUUUACUGAGCUAUUUCUGUUAUAUGUUGCUUGCUGUUAUAGUCUAUCAUGAUAGGUUUUGGGGCUAAGUUAACUUGUUAACUUGUGUGAACUUGUUAUAACUAUUGCUCUGUAAAUGAGUGUCCAGUGAGUCCAUUAUGUUAUCAAGCAUUCAUCUUUUAGCAUGUACACCUUCUUAUUCCUCGAGCAUGCAAUAGGUGCAUCGGACGCGACAGCCUCCUUCGAGCUGCAAGUGAACCCCGAAGGCCAGGAGGGCAGCCAGGAGGUGGAGGUCCAGCAAGUCGGACUCGAGGAGCCCGAAGAAGAAGUUGAGUGCCCGAGUCACGAGCCAGCCUCGUUCGUGAAAGGCAAGCCCCGGAGCAUUUUAAGCCUCCCUUUACUUUUGCAAAUUUAUUUAAUAUGUUAUAUCUAUUGCUACAUUAAGUAUAGGAGUUGUGAUGAAACCCUUGCUGCAUUUUACUCCAUCCUUGUCCAGAUAACUCACCACACCCUGGUUGUAGAGUUAGGAUCGAAUAGCAGCUUAGCCAUGCUUAAUCGGUAGAAGUCGGGUGAUUUCCUGUCACCAGCGAGAUAUAGGGUUGUGUCGGAUCACGAUGGUCUAUAUGUGCUAUCGUGGAUGAAACCUGAUUAAUUUGACUUAAGUCGGGUGGAGUUUUGUAAGGUUGUAGUAACUCCGUCUGUGGCAGCUAAGGACCGACCGUUGUACGUCCUCUUGUCAUGUUGAACGCAUCCCUAACACUUAGUUGGCCGGAUAACUCGUUCCGACCGUGAAGCCGAGUAGUAUGACUCAGGCCAGAAGACCGGCAAGUAUAAAGUGCGCACUACCGGAGGAAGUGCGGUGUGUGGGGGACCAUUGGCGUAAGCCCAAAGGCAGGUGAGUUAAAAUUCCUGACCUCCCUGGCAGAGUGGUAGCCCUGGGAGUGCGGCGCUGAUCGGAGCCGCGAUUCCUGAGUUGUACCAAAGGUGACCCGUUGGCUCUCCGACGGGGGAUGCUUGGGUGAGUGCUAGGAACACACCUCCAGCUGGAUAGGAAUUCGAUUCGAAUCGCCGUCUCUCCCGGUUAGUGAGAACUUGACAGAGCAGCGGCAAACGUAGCAUUCACUAAUGAACUUGGUUCAUGAUAAUGAUGAUAGCAAAGAAGAACAUAUGAUGAAUUUGAUAUGGUUAUUAUUGUUUGUAAUAAUCAAGUGAUGUGUUGUAGUACAGGUGCUAAUCUAGUGGUAGGCUGAUGAUGAAUAAAUAUGAUGCUCUCAAAAUAAUUUAGUUUUAGUGAAAGCUUUUGGCAAACGAUGAGUCAACCAGCUCCACUUGAUAUUAGCCUUGCAUGAUCCUUGGUGUCUUUUAUGUUUUACUAGACGGGUAAGUCUAGCUGAGUACAAUCUCGUACUCAGGGUUUAUUCCCACCUGUUGCAGAUGACAUCUUUUAUGACGGUUUCUGCAAGACCUGUCUCCAUCCCGCUAGGGAUGAGGACUAACCGUUGGGCGCGGUUCUCUAACAACCUCGUACCUGAUGCUUUUGGAAGGAUGAUGUAGACUCUGGCAGUAACUCGAACUUAAGAACUGAUUUUGGAAAGUGUGUGUGUAACUAUUUUGCUUCCGCUACUUCAAACAAGUGUUGUAAUAACUUAAUACUCCGAUGUGGUGCCGCUUCGACAACAAUGAAUGACUUUGUAACAUUCGCUGUGUUGUGCUGAAUUAUUACGAUCUUGGUUUGUUGCAAGUUGGUUUGAAGUCCAUCGUGAUUUCAAUUGACUACCGGGAUUAUAUGGGCUCAAGUUUGGAAACUUGAUUGCUUGUCGAUCGUUUCUACACUUGAACUCUUAUAAUUUGGUCGGUUCUGUGACAGCUGGUAUCGGAGCAAGUUCAGCAUUAUAAAUGCAGCGUUUGUGUAUUUAAAAACAAAAGAGUUUUUAAAUAAAAGGGUGUAAAUCAAUAUUUAAGUUAUGCCAGUGGUCGAAUCCUCCUUGCCCACAUAAGGACUAUAGGUGGCUAUUUAAGUACUGACUUGGGGGGCGGGUUUAUUUAUGCAUCUCCGGCAGUACUCAGGUAUGGAUGUGUGAUGACCGCACUAUGCUAUCCUGUGGUCUAAUAGUGGAGGUAGCCUUCAUAUGUGAAUUAGCCACAUAUGUCGCUAGAUUUAAAUUAUGCAACGUCACACCUACGCUCUGGUAAGUGUGAGCUGUGAGAGCAUGAUCGUCCAAACGGCGGUCUAGGGGAGUGUUCGCGGUGGUUUUCUGGAGUGGUUACAUGUCAAAACCAUGGAACCACGAAAGAAACUUAAUUGGGGAGCAUUUAAUUUCUCGGGUAGCUGUGGUGUCAUUGUUUGUGCAUGUUGGGCAUGUCCAAGCAAUGUGCACUUAGUUUACUGCUUUCUUGAGUGAUAUAUUGGGAACUGUUGGGCUGAAAUGAAGUUUUCUGCAGGUACACUAACAGCGCACGUGUAAAUCGAUAGUUAUCGUAUCGAGAGACGAAUGUAUGCCACCGUAUAUCCGUUAGAAUGUUAAUUUUCUAAGUUUGUGAGGACGUACGGUUUGUGCAUGCAUCAUGUCGCAUUCAUACAUACAUUCUGUCUACUCCUUCCCUUAUAAUGUCGUCCCUUUUAAUUAAAUAAAUGUUGCUUAAACUAAUCCUCUUUUAUCCAUGGUACUCCUAUUCCUUUCCACAGAUGGACGCGCCCGCUUCACCCCGUCCCAGUGACACUUUCUUGAGCGAGUUUGGCACUCCUACCCUGCUCUGGAGAGUGUUACAGUCUGUCGGGUAUACUGAGCCACCUCAGUAUUCUUGGUGGGAGUUGGAGAGCACAGGAGGGAUACAGUGGUUUGCUGUGCAGGGAGUUGUCCCUCCACAUGGGGACAAGCCUGCCUGGACAGGCUGGACUUGUAGCUCAGAUGGGCAGACUCCUUGGGAGGCAGCUCAGGUUGCAGCCCAGACUAUCCUGCUCGAUAUCUGUCAGAGGUGUGGUGAUGAGCUGACGGGAGGACCAGCGGCCUCCAUUCCCCGUGCUGACCCAGCAGCAGCGGAGUGGAAGUAGGCUGAUGGUUGUGCUUUGGUUCGAGGCAGGGGAGAGAGAGCUGAGAGUUCUAGUCCUGCUAUGAGUGCUAUGAUGGCGGUGCUCAAGCUGAUCAGUCAGCGAGAGGACACCUAUGCACAGGUGAUGGUGGCUGUUCGCCAGGCUCAGGAGAUGCAACGGAAGGCUGAAAAGCGUGCUCGCAAGUUUCGCAAGCAAGCUAGACUCCUGGAGCAAGCUCAGAAGGACCGCAAUGACUGGGAAGACAUUGCGGAGUACCGUAGGCAGCAGUGGGUGAAGGCCAUUAGGGAGAGGGAUCCUAAGCAGGAUCAGAUGAGUCAGUUAGCUAGAGAGAAGGAGACCAUACAGGAGCGCUUGGUGCAGAUCACUCGUGAGAGGGACACUGCACUCCGCGUGUCGGAGAACAGGCGCCGGGCAUGGGAGAUGCACCGAGUUCAGUCGCUUGAGCGGGAGAACUAUCUACAGGAUCAGAUUGAGGCUGGUCUUGUGGAGAUUCACCGUCUCAACAACUUGCUACACCCUAUUCCUCGCCCUAUACCCGUGUAUCCAGAGGUGGGACCUCAGGUGAUUGUGGCCGAUGAUGAUGGUAUGGAGGUCGAUGGACCAGCAGUGGCUGCACCACCCCUGCACGAGGACGUGGAGGACGAGGAGCUUGAGCCGGUUAGCGACGAGGAUGGAGAGGCGAUCUUCGACGCUGACUCGGACGACGAGCCUGGAGUGUAGGGAGUAGUGGGUAGUGUUAUGUGAGAAUCUUUUGUAGUAUGCCAGUCAGCCGUGGUGCUUUUGUACCCAUGUUGUAAUCUGGAACUUUGACCUUGACUCAUGGCAUGUACUGUGAUGGUGUAAUAACUUUGUGGACCCAAUGUGUAACCUUAACAUGUUCGUAUGUUAUGACGAUGUUUUCCGUUGUGGUGCAUAUUGCGGAUAUCUCUGUCAUGUGUUGGAUUGGUGAUGUUGUUUUGUGGAAUUGAAUUAUUGUGCCUUUCUGUAAAGCUAUUCUCUCGAAUACUUUCAGGCAUAAAUUUAAGUUCUUCUGCGGCAAAUCUUGUCAUCAUCAAUACUCACUGACUGUGUCUUUACAGAUGUCUCAUGGCACCCGAGGUGCGGAACAGCGUGCAAACAUGAAUCCACCCCCUCCUCCUCCACCACCAAAUCCUGCUAAGUUAAUGCAAAUGAUGGUGGAAAAUUAGAGAAUGCUCACUGAGACCAUCAAUCGGAUGGCGAAUCAGGGUGGUCGUAAUGCACAUGAAGGGCCAGCUCCUAACCAGUACAGUAGCUUCAAGGACUUCAUGGAUACAAAGCCCCCACCUUUCAGAGAAGCUGAAGAACCCCUUCAAGCUGAACAAUGGCUGAACACUGUGGAACAAAAGUUCCGCUUGCUUCGGUUGACUGAAAGUUUGAAGGCAGAGUAUGCAGCUCAUCAACUGCAAGGUCCAGCAGGCAUCUGGUGGAAUCAGUAUCGGGAAGCUCUUCCAGCCGACACUGUGCUUGACUGGAAUCUUUUCCGUGAUGCUUUUAAAGGGCAUUUCAUUCCUCCUGGUGUCAUGGAGAUGAAGCAUACUGAGUUCAUGCAGUUAACCCAGGGUAACAAAACUUUGAAGGAGUAUUUGCAUGCUUUCAAUCAUUUGUCUAGGUAUGCUCCUGAGUUUGUGAACACUGAGGCGAAAAAGAUUGCUAGUUUCAAGCGGGGUUUGGGCCCCAAGUUGCUGAAGACUAUGGGCCGCACUAAGUGUGCAACUUUCAAUGAGUUUGUCAGUGAUGCUCUCACUCAAGAGAACUAUAACAUUGUGUAUACUGCGACCAAGACUCGCAAGAGGGCUUUUGAGGCCGGGGCAGGGUCAUCUCAGUCCAAGGCUCCAGUGGCAGCUAAGCCACCGUUCCGUGCUCCCACGCCUAACCAGCGGUAUCGCCCUCCGGUGAAGAAGAAUCAGGCGAAGACGGGUUUCCGCAAGGGGUACUCUAUUGCUCUUCCUAGGGGCAACACGGGUCCCAGCUAUGCCAAGACUCCACCUGCCAACCGUCCGUGCUGGAACUGCAAUCAGACCGGGCAUUGGCAGAGCAACUGUCCUUACCCGCCAAAGAAGGGCAACAAGGGGAACGUCCGUCAGGGGCGUGUUCACUACACAACUGUGGAAGCAAUCCCCUGCUGGUGAGGUAGUCACGGCUGGUAAGUUUCUGGUUAACCAACGUGAUCAAUUGUGCUUUUUGAUUCAGGAGCAUCGCAUUCUUUUGUGAGUUCUGAAUUUGUGUCUAAGCAUAAUAUCAAGGCAAUUACACUUGAUAAGGGCAGUUAUUGCAUUAGUGCUGCGGGAAAUGAUAUUUCCACCAAUCAAGUGGUUUUGGGGGCAACUCUGGAAAUAGGAGGCUGUCAGUUUCUUGCUGAUUUGGUUGUUCUACCCGGGGUGCGCAUAGAUGUAAUUCUGGGGAUGAAGUGGAUGAGUGGCAAUGGAGUUCUUAUCGACACCACCACUCGUGUAGUGAUGUUGAAAGACCCAAAUACCAAGGAGGCAUUUCUAGUGCAACUCCCUCGUGAUAUUCAAAUCCGUAGCACUGUGAAUGCAGUUACAUCUAAGGCUAUUCAGGACAUUCCGGUGGUGUGUGAGUUCCCGGAUGUAUUUCCUGAUGAUUUACCUGGGCUUCCUCCGGAUCGGGAUGUGGAGUUCAAAACUGAGUUGAUCCCAGGUACCGCUCCUAUCUCUAGAAGACCUUAUAGAAUGCCACCCAAUGAAUUAGAUGAGCUUAAGACCCAACUAAAUGAGUUGUUGAAGAAGGGUCUUAUCUGUCCUAGUUCGUCUCCAUGGGGUUGUCCGGCUACCUUUGUGAAGAAGAAGGAUCAAUCUUUGCGCAUGUGUGUGGACUAUCGUCCCUUAAAUGCGGUAACCAUCAAGAACAAAUACCCUCUCCCUCGCAUUGAUAUCUUGUUUGAUCAGUUGUCUAAAGCUAAGGUAUUCUCCAAGAUUGAUUUGCGAUCUGGGUAUCAUCAGAUCAAGAUCUAUCCUGAAGAUGUACCUAAGACAGCUUUCUCGACGAGGUAUGGGUUGUAUGAGUAUCUCGUCAUGUCCUUCGGUCUUACAAAUGCACCUGCUCACUUCAUGUAUCUCAUGAAUUCGGUGUUCAUGCCUGAAUUGGACAAGUUUGUGGUGGUCUUCAUUGAUGAUAUCUUGGUAUAUUCCUGCAAUGAAGAGGAGCAUGCAGAGCAUCUGCGUAUAGUGUUGUCGCGUUUGCGCCAACAUCAGCUUUAUGUCAAGUUUAGCAAAUGCGAGUUUUGGCUGAAGAAAGUACCUUUCUUGGGCCAUGUCUUAUCUGAAGAAGGUAUAUCGGUGGACCCAGCCAAGGUGCAAGAAGUGCUGGAUUGGAAAGUUCCAACUUCGGUACACGAGGUUCGGAGUUUUCUCGGUCUGGCUGGAUAUUAUCGUCGAUUCAUUCCCGAAUUCUCAAAAAUAUCCAAGCCUAUGACUCAGCUACUUUAGAAAGAUGAGAAGUUUGUGUGGACGCCUGAAUGUGGAGAGGCAUUCCACAAGUUGAGGACAUUGCUGACAUCAGCUCCUGUCCUAGCUCAACCUGAUGUCGAAAAGCCCUUCGAUGUCUUUUGUGACGCGUCAGGCAUCGGUCUAGGCUGCGUGUUGAUGCAGGAAGGUCGCGUUAUCGCGUAUGCCUCGCGCCAACUUCGAAAGCAUGAGGUCAAUUACCCUACUCAUGACUUAGAAUUGGCAGCAGUUGUUCAUGCUUUGAAAAUCUUGAGGCAUUAUUUGCUGGGUAAUCUGUGUAAUAUCUACACCGAUCAUAAGAGCCUCAAGUAUAUCUUCACUCAACCUGAACUAAACAUGCGGCAGCGAAGGUGGCUUGAGUUGAUUAAAGAUUAUAAUCUACAAGUGCACUAUCAUCCGGGCAAGGCGAACGUGGUUGCGGAUGCCUUGAGUCGGAAGCGCACUCUCACUCAAUCCAAGUGGAAGAUCCGUUAUUGUCACAUCUUAUGCAUCCACUUGUGCUCAACCAGAUUUCUCUGGAGAGUACUCUUCGCAAUCGAGUUACUGAAUUGCCGCAAACAGAUGUAGGCAUCUAUCAUAUAAAGAGGAAAAUGAAAGAAGAAGAAACCAAGCAUUUCCGAGUCGAUGAGAACAGAAUUCUUUGGUUCAAGGAUCGGCUUGUGGUCCCAAAAGACCGUGAGCUACGAAAUCAGAUCUUGUCUGAAGCUCAUUCAUCCAAAUUGUCUAUCCAUCCUGGUAGUAGCAAGAUGUAUCAGGAUUUGAAACCUCUGUUUUGGUGGACAAAGAUGAAAAAGGAGAUUGCUGCUUUUGUCGCUCGUUGUGACAAUUGUUGUCGUGUGAAGGCUGUUCACAUGAAAGCUGGUUUACUUCAACCCUUGUCAAUUCCCGGCUAGAAAUGGGAAGAAGUCAGCAUGGAUUUCAUCGUUGGACUCCCAACUUCUGUUAAGGGUUACGACUCCAUCUAGGUAAUUGUAGAUCGUUUGACCAAGGUUGCUCGAUUUAUUCCAGUUCGAACUGACUAUCGUCCACAUCAAUAUGCAGAGUUGUAUUUCGAGCACAUUGUUCGUCAGUAUGGUGUGCCUCGAACUAUUGUAUCAGAUCGUGGACCCCAGUUCACUGCUCGUUUUUGGGAAUCUCUGCAUGAGCAGAUUGGUACUCAUUUAGUCCGUAGCUCUGCUUAUCAUCCCCAAACGGCUGGUCAAACUGAACGGGUUAACCAAAUCCUAGAAGACAUGUUGAGGGCAUGUGCUCUCUCUUCAAAAGGUUCUCGGGUUAAGUGGUUUCCAUUAGCUGAGUUCUCCUACAACAAUAGUUAUCAGGAGAGUAUCAAGAUGGCUCCAUUGGAAGCCCUGUACGGUCAAAAGUGUCGAACCCCGUUGAAUUGGGUAGAAGCCGGAGAGCGAAGGUAUUAUGGUAUCGAUUUCGUGAACGAAGCAGAGCAGAAAGUCCGUACCAUCCAGCAACAUCUGGAAGCUGCUCAAGCUCGUCAGAAAAGUUAUGCCGACAAAAGAAGGAAGCCGAUUGAGUUUUCAGUUGGCGACCAUGUGUAUAUCAAGGUUUCUCUGAUGAAGGGUGUACAAAGGUUCGGAGUCAAGCGAAAGCUUGCACCUCGUUAUGUGGGACCUUAUCGGAUUCUUGAAAAGAAAGGGAAUGUGGCGUACAAAGUUCAACUCCCAGUUGCGCUUCGAGCUAUUUUCCCUGUCUUCCACGUAUCACAAUUAAAGAAGUGCCUUCGUGUACCAGAGGAACGAGUGGAAGUUCGAGAUAUCAAGUUGAAGUCAGACUUGGUGUAUGAAGAAAAACCCAUAGCGGUUCUUGAUCGCAAGGAACGGGAAACUCGUAAUCGUGUGGUUAAGUUCUACAAGGUGUUGUGGAGUAACCACGGGGAGGAAGAUGCCACUUGGGAGACGGAGGAUUAUUUAAAAGAAGUUUACAAAACAUUCUUCGAAAAUCAGUAAGCUUUCAAAUCUCGGGACGAGAUUUUUGUAAGGAGAGAGGGCUGUAACACCCUAGUGUUAUGGUUGCAUUAAUCAUGUGCAUAGCAUGAGCAUCAUCAUCUACUCAAAGCAUAUCAUGAUCAUCAUCUAUCUUGAGCCAUGUCAUUCUAUGCAAAUAAGUGAUCUAAAUUGCUUAAAUAGGCUUCCUAUGCUUAUGUUUGAGUGAACCAUGCUUGUGUUUGUGCUCUAUGCCUUGGUAAUUAGUUUAUCUAUGCUUAACUUAACCUUGGGAACAAUGUUCAUGUUGAUCACUUCUCCAAAAUAAUCACUUAAGUCAUACUUAUGCUAAUGGGCCCUAGAAACCUCUUUUCCUUAGGCUUUUAAAAAGUGUUUCAUAAAAUAUUUGCAUGUCAAAACUUUCUACAGAAAAGUUGUAGCAAAUUUUAUAAGGAACAAAAGUUGUUUUAUGUCCAUCUUAUGAAAAUGACCACAAAUAGCUCAAAAUUGACCCACAAGGCAGAUUUGGGGCUGUUUCCAACACUUAGGAAAUUUUCUAAGUCCUGGAACGAAACCAGUUUGCUUGAUCGAUUUUGAAAACUCCAUAUCUUUCAAUCCAGGCCGAUCUGGCUUUUGCUCUAGUUGACAAUGUUGUAGAACUCGAUUGGAACUCCAACUUUGUCAACUACACCAUCUCCUAACUCGCUCUGGUUUGGAAGUUAUUCAUCGCUGAAGUCGCUCUGUCACACCCUGAUCGCGUCGCUUGAUUCAGAGAGGAGCUCGUCGUCGGGAACGUCCAGAGCGCCACCUGUCCGCUAGAUGGCGCCCGUACGCCGGUGAUGGCCCCGCUCGUCAGCUCCCAGCGCGCGCAUCUCAUCCACGGCGACGCCCUGAGCGGAGUGGACGCGUCCACUUCCUCUCUGCCUCGCCUCUCUCGCCAAAAGAGCGCCCGCAGCGAGCUCACCGUCGCGAGCUCACUCCGGCGAGCUCGUGUGCGCUCCUCGCUGCGUCUCAGUCCACCAAACUUCACCCACAGCUCCGCCGUGAGCCGCUCUUCACUCUCCACCCUCUAGCUCGCCGCGAAACCCACCGGUGAGCCGAUAUUUCCUUCUUCCCCCAAAUCGGGUCGUCGUGGUCAUCUUUUCCGGCGAGCUCAAUGCUGGGCUCCUUAGGGCCUCUCGUCUCCUUUGGUUAGGUUCUAGAGGUAGCUUAGGUUCUUAGCUAGCGGUUGCGCCUCUCGGGGAACGCUCUACCGAACCCACCGUCGCCGGACACGAUGCGCAGCGCCGCCGUGUUCCGCCGGAGUUGGGGUCUCUCGUGGCCAGCGUGUUCCACGACGUUUCAAGCCAAGCCGCUUACCUAGGAAGCUUCGUCGUAGUCCACUGAUGCUGUAGGAGGCCUUAGGUCGCGCUCUACCAGCCUGAGGGCUCCGGCGUAACGCCGAGCACCUCCGCCGAGCCGCCAUGAUCGACGGCGAGCCCCUUCCGGUGGCUCCGCCGUGGGGAAAAGGGGAUCAAUCGAGUCGCUAGAGUCUGGGGAUCACGUUGGUGCCCUUGGUUUGGCCAGAGACCUCGCCGUCGCGGAGAAAUCGCCGGCGAGAGUCGCCUCGGCCGUGAGGGAGAAGAACCUGACAUGCAUGGCCCGCUGUCAGUGUCACCUCCCUUCCCUCCUUUUCUUUUAUUCAAAUCUGGAUUUUUGGCUUUCUUGCAAAAAUCAUAUCUCCUGUUUCCGAGAACCAAAAAUGGUGAAACCAAUUUUGUGGUAUUCCUUGAGAUGGCUAGUUUUUAAUAAAAAUAUAAAAUGAAUCAUGUUUUCCGGAAAAAUAUUUAUUAAGGAUUUAAUCUUGUUAUUCAUGAGUAAAUUCAUAUCUUUUGUUAUACUGUUUAGUUUGCUCUGAAAAUUUUAUGGUAGUCUCUGUGUGAUACUAGAAUGCUAUGAUAAAUAUUUCAUGAUUUUUGGAGUACUGCAGCUUUGUUAUGUAAUUUAUGAUUGAAAUUUGGCUUGUUUCUUUAAUCAAAUUAUGUAAAAUAAUUGGUGUUUAUGCUGGUGCUCUAUUUUGGUGGUAAACUUGUUUAUGGCAUUCAUAAUAUGUAAAUAAUCUAAAAUCUGUUGUUUGACACUAUAUAAGUCAUGUUUCUAAAUUUAUGAAAUAAAAACCUUGUCACAUGUUAAAUGCAUAUCUUUAAUUUGGUAUGUGCAAUUGCUCUGAAAUUUUUAUGGUGAUGCUUUGAUGCUACACUUGUGCCUCUGUAAUUUUUGUAGAUUUUUCUGAGCACCUUGAUCAGUAUCUUGUAAUUAUGCUCCUUUCUAGAAUUAAUUAAUAAAUGCCUUGUCAAGUAAAUGUUUGAGGGUGAUCAUCUGAUGUUCUGGUAACCUUGUGAUAUGCUUGUGCUCAUAAGCCAUGUGGUUGGCAUGGUUUAUGUUUUGGUUGUGUCAUCAAAUAAUUAAUUAAAGGGUUAAAGGCUGUUCUGCACAGCAAGGGAGUAAUUUAACUUUUGCUUGAUGAUAACUUGGUUUUCUGGGAAACUUGUCUAAAUCAAAGUUGUUGUAAAUUUAUUGAACUAGCUGUGAUUUAAAUUUGGGAUCAUUUGGUCCAGUAGUUUUGAAGUUAUGAUCUUUCCAAGUGGGGUUCCAGAAAUAGGUGUUUUCUGUUUUUCUGGGACAGAACCUAGAACUUUGUUUAAAUGAGUUGUUUAAUGUAUGAAUCUGGCUGUAAUGUUUAAAGAUGAAUUGUAGACAAUUUCAUAAGCUUUCCAAAAUGUUCUCCCUCAUGUUUGUUGGAUCUGCCUAGAACUAGUUAUGAUCUGUUUACUGAGCUAUUUCUGUUAUAUGUUGCUUGCAGUUAUAGUCUAUCAUGAUAGGUUUUGGGGCUAAGUUAACUUGUUAACUUGUGUGAACUUGUUAUAACUAUUGCUCCGUAAAUGAGUGUCCAGUGAGUCCAUUAUGUUAUCAAGCAUUCAUCUUUUAGCAUGUACACCUUCUUAUUCCUCGAGCAUGCAAUAGGUGCAUCGGACGCGACAGCCUCCUUCGAGCUGCAAGUGAACCCCGAAGGCUAGGAGGGCAGCCAGGAGGUGGAGGUCCAGCAAGUCGGACUCGAGGAGCCCGAAGAAGAAGUUGAGUGCCCGAGUCACGAGCUAGCCUCGUUCGUGAAAGGCAAGCCCCGGAGCAUUUUAAGCCUCCCUUUACUUUUGCAAGUUUAUUUAAUAUGUUAUAUCUAUUGCUGCAUUAAGUAUAGGAGUUGUGAUGAAACCCUUGCUGCAUUUUACUCCAUCCUUGUCCAGAUAACUCACCACACCCUGGUUGUAGAGUUAGGAUCGAAUAGCAGCUUAGCCAUGCUUAAUCGGUAGAAGUCGGGUGAUUUCCUGUCACCUGCGAGAUAUAGGGUUGUGUCGGAUCACGAUGGUCUAUAUGUGCUAUCGUGGAUGGAACCUGAUUAAUUUGACUUAAGCCGGGCGGAGUUUUGCAAGGUUGUAGUAACUCCGUCUGUGGCAGCUAAGGACCGACCGUUGUACGUCCUCUUGUCAUGUUGAACGCAUGCCUAACACUUAGUUGGCCGGAUAACUCGUUCCGACCGCGAAGCCGAGUAGUAUGACUCAGGCCGGAAGACCGGCAAGUAUAAAGUGCGCACUACCGGAGGAAGUGCGGUGUGCGGGGGACCAUUGGCGUAAGCCCAAAGGUAGGUGAGUUAAAAUUCCUGACCUCCCUGGCAGAGUGGUAGCCCUGGGAGUGCGGCGCUGAUCGGAGCCGCGAUUCCUGAGUUGUACCAAAGGUGACCCGUUGGCUCUCCGACGGGGAAUGCUUGGGUGAGUGCUAGGAACACACCUCCAGCUGGAUAGGAAUUUGAUUCGAAUCGCCGUCUCUCCCGGUUAGUGAGAACUUGACAGAGCAGCGGGAAACGUAGCAUUCACUAAUGAACUUGGUUCAUGAUAAUGAUGAUAGCAAAGAAGAACAUAUGAUGAAUUUGAUAUGGUUAUUAUUGUUUGUAAUAAUCAAGUGAUGUGUUGUAGUACAGGUGCUAAUCUAGUGGUAGACUGAUGAUGAAUAAAUAUGAUGCUCUCAAAAUAAUUUAGUUUUAAUGAAAGCUUUUGGCAAACGAUGAGUCAACCAGCUCCACUUGAUAUUAGCCUUGCAUGAUCCUUGGUGUCUUUUAUGUUUUACUAGAUGGGUAAGUCUAGCUGAGUACAAUCUCGUACUCAGGGUUUAUUCCCACCUGUUGCAGAUGACAUCUUUUAUGACGGUUUCUGCAAGACCUGUCUCCAUCCCGCUGGGGAUGAGGACUAACCAUUGGGCGCGGUUCUCUAACAACCUCGUACCUGAUGCUUUUAGAAGGAUGAUGUAGACUCUGGCAGUAACUCGAACUUAAGAACUGAUUUUGGAAAGUGUGUGUGUAACUAUUUUGCUUCCGCUACUUCAAACAAGUGUUGUAAUAACUUAAUACUCCGAUGUGGUGCCGCUUCGACAGCAAUGAAUGACUUUGUAACAUUCGCUGUGUUGUGCUGAAUUAUUACGAUCUUGGUUUGUUGCAAGUUUGAAGUCCAUCGUGAUUUCAAUUGACUACCGGGAUUAUAUGGGCUCAAGUUUGGAAACUUGAUUGCUUGUCGAUCGUUUCUACACUUGAACUCUUAUAAUUUGGUCGGUUCUGUGACAGCGGGCAUAAGUGAGUCACCAUCAGACCACUCACACAUUUGUGUUGUAGACUUGUAUGUUGCUUUAUCUGUUUAGUUAUUAAACCCAACUCUACCUUUUAUAUUUCCCAAAAAAAUUAAAAAACCCUCUCUAGGAAGGUUUGAACCUUUGACUUGUUGGUUUAGGCCUUGUUUAGUUCGCAAAAAUUUUUAAGAUUCCUCGUCACAUCGAAUUUUUGGUCGCAUACAUGGAGUAUUAAAUAUAGAUGAAAAUAAAAACUAACUGCACAGUUUACCUGUAGUUUGUAAGAUAAAUCUUUUGAGCCUAGUUACUUUGUGAUUGGACAAUGUUUAUCAAAUAAAAACGAAAUGCUACAUGUUGACACUAGCUAACACCACUUAGAUACUAGGUUGUCAUCCCUAGCAUGGCGCCAGAGUGUACAAAGGUAUUUAUAAAUGUAAAGGCUCUCUAGAAAAUAAUCUAUUCUAUCCGCAAGCGCACAAAUAAAACACCUCAUUGUAGCGUUUCACUAGAAUAAGUAUUCCAGGUAUCGUUAUUUAUAAUUUUGCUCAAGGGAUCUAAAGAAGAUGAAAUUAAAUGAAGGGACAAAAUCUAUCAAGGCAUAGACUAGAGAUAAACUUGCAAGAACAUGAUUACUAAUGAGAAACUCGUCACACAGUCACUUACUUUAGCAGGAGGUAAACCAUAAAGAUAAUGAUAAUGAAUUAUAAGUUCAUGGGUAGAUAACACAGCGAUUAGAAAAUAGACUACUCCUCAUAUAUGUAGGUGAUGUCGGAUUAGCUAGAGAAUGGAUUCUAAGUUAUCUACUAACUACUAAGUCAUAAUCUACUCUAGUUAUCUACAAGAUCAUAUAUAGCAUAAAAGACUCUUCAUUCAUGUAUAAGGAACAUUGAUAAAGUAAAUCAGAACAUCGCAUGACUUACUCCACAAUACCGGUUCUGCCUGUCCUAUCAACGGAGGGUGGACUAUAUAAGAAUCAACGAAGCUGUCACUAUCGCGAACUACCACACGACCCGGCCAAUAGGAUACAUUUGCAGAUAAAUAACAUCUAAGCACCACGCUCACAUGUGAUCUAUCACCUAACUCCCUCGCGUCAAGAGCUAAGCGCUUUGCAAACUUAUACAUAAACUCAUUAUCAAUUAGAACUAUAUCAAAUAUAGAACUAGAGCAAACUAAGAACAUAAUAAUUAAAGACAUAAUGCAAUUAGAACAAAGAAUUAGAGAAAGAUAUGAAUAAUACCAAUCUUUAUUACCGAAGAUCCGAAUCCAGAGCGUAGUGCUCUACUUCUCUAAUUGCUAUCUAAUCAAACCUCUAAACUUGAAGGAUUAGGGAGUAGCUAAUUCUAAUUCUCUGUGGGAGAGAAGCUCUAAACCCUAACUUUGAUGGCUACCUCUGAAUAAUGAUUUCUUCUCCUCUCCUCCAGGGGCCAGGGGGUCUGGUUUUAUAGUCCCCUCAAGUGAACGUGAGCCAUUGGAUCAAACCGACAUAGAUUGUAUGGUUUAGAUUGAUCCUUUAGGUCGGUGGAGUUUUGCCCCGAAGCAGAGUCCUGUUUGGGAUCCAACCCUGGGCGGGCGCCCAAGGGGGGUGGGCGGCCGCCCUGCCCCCGAGCCCGAAUCCCUUCUCGUUCGUUUCCGUGGCUUCUGGACUCUUCUAGAUUGAGGAAAAUUGCGCGGCACGUAAUUAUCUCGUUGUAAACAUGACAUGUGGGCCUUCUCUCCAUAUUCUCUGAUAACCCCCUGCAGAAAUAGAUAAACACCAAAGCUCGUGGAAUUCUGUCAGAUAAAACCCUAAUUCUAAACGUUUGUUUCAUAUUGAUCCUUUUUCAUGUUUAUUUGAUUAUUAAUUUUAGUACUUAAGGACCGUCAACACUACAGUAGCCAAAAACAAAAAUUUUUGUGAACUAAACAAGGCCUUAGAGGGUGCUACCUUUACAACGAGACCUUUUAUGUUCCUGUGGCACAUGUUUGUUUAUUUGUACACUAAUUAUUUUUUUAACCCGUCCGACUUGAUGGGUCCUAUACCCAUAAUCCGUUAUUGGUGGAACACUUCUACGUAUGCGCGAGGUGCACUAGGAGCCCUCGCGUGAGUUCGUUCUUGGUGGCUACACGCUUGUAUAGGGUCCCCAGGUGAUCGCUGCCGAUGCCGUGCAUCCCCAGCAGGUGAUCAUCGCCGACGUCGUGUGUCUCCACGUGCGUCCCAGGUGAUCGUCAAGUGCGUCCCAGCUGAUCGUCGUCGUACGUCCCCAUGUGAUCGAUGCCGUGCGGCCCAGCUUGAAUCCUCGCAUGCGUCUCCUGGUAUUCUUCUUUUGUACAUGCAUGUAUAUAGGAAGAACUUUUGCCUUUUCUAUUUUUUCCUAAAUGGCUAAAUUUAUGCCGAGUACAAACAUGUGUGUUCAAUUCAACUAGAGCUACAUAUAGAAAUUCAACUAGAGCUGCAUUUAGUUCAAUUCAAAUAACAAGCACAUAGAAAUUCAUUUAAAUAGAAAAUACUAAAUCUAUUUAAAACUUUCUAAAAUUCCUACACUACAACAUAUAUAUAGGUUCUUCCCUGUCACAUCGAAUCUUUAGACGUAUGCAUGAAGUAUUAAAUAUAGACGAAAAUAAAAACUAAUUGUACAGUUUGGUCGGAAUUGACGAGACGAAUCUUUUGAGCCUAGUUAGUCUAUGAUUGGACAAUAUUUAUCAAAUACAAACGAAAAUGCUACAGUGCCGAUAUCCCAAAAUUUUCUGGAACUAAACAAGGCCUAACUGAGUGGGAUCCUCGUUGCCAAAUAUAGGGCUCGUGGCCAUGAAUUUUUUUUGGCCCAAAACUGAGAUGUAUAAAGCCCAUUGCAAAACCCUAGCUGUGGUCCUCGACUCCACCACUCAGAAGCCGCCGCCGCUGGUGCCAAAUCCUACCUUCCAAGUCCCGACGACAUCACCACUAUCCGAACAACGCGAACUUGCAGGUGCCCCUCCAGUCGCACGCAAGCAGUUCACGCCCCAUGGCGGCGCAGGCGGCUUAGGGCGCCCUCCGGCAGCGCGCGAGCAGGGCGUGGCCCCUCCAAUGAUGCGUGCAGCUCAGGGGCCGAGCCCCUUCGGUAGCGUGCGGGCAGGACGCGUCCCCUCCGACGGCGGUUGGUCCCAGCCCUAGCAUCGCCCCCAUCGCCGCACCAGCCAUGGCGCUGGCCUCUUGCCUCGUCUUGCGCUCCCAUCAGGUUCUUUUGCUUGCCCCUUGGCUUCUCUCUGCAUCGCGCUUUGGGAACCCUAGUCUCUUGCUGAUCUGAUCCGGUGACGUCUGUCUUGAAAAUUUCAUGAUUAGAAAAGGAGAUUCCAUAGUUCGUUAGCUAGAUUGGGAAUUGGAGGGGCAGACAGUGGAGACGACACGCUCUUUUUUUACAGAUUCUUUCGAUCUGAAUGUGAAUUCCUGUUUAGAUAUUUUCUCAUAUGGAACGCCAUGGUGUCAAUGCAGGCCAUGUUUCAUUGAGCUCUGUAUUAGUCUGAGGCAUGUUGGAAUUGGCACAAAGACAAUGAUUGCACAUCUGAGGCAUGUUGGAAUUGGCACAAAGACAAUGAUUGCACAGGGUAUCAUAUACAUAUUUUAUUUAUUAGUUAUGUAUAUACAUACAAAACUGACUCAGUACCUUGUUCUUUGAUAAUAUUCAGUACCUUGUUUUACCACCUUUAUGUUUCAAGAGUGGAAAUAUUGAACAGUUGGAUGUAUGUAUUUGGUCAUUUCACUGCAUUUUUAGUUUAUAUUGUCUGAACAAUCUGAUAGGGAAUUUGUAGUAGAAUCAAUGUAGCAUUCUUUUUUCUUCAGAUGCACUACAUUUUACUUCUGUUGUUUCUUUUGUGUGGACAGAAUGUACCAUUGUUAAUCAUCAAAUUUUGACAUCUCAAUAAGACAUCGUGCAUAUAUUUGUUGUGCAACUGUGCAACCUUUUUAAAUUAGCUAGAAUUCCUAAUCCCAUAUUGAUAUUACUGUAAACCAAUACUCAAAUUCUCGACUAUAACAAGAUCUGGGACCAUUGCACAUGGAUUUAUAACAUGUAAAGAACAAAGAAACUUUGUAUGUGCAAAAAAAAAGAAUGCUUUGGUAAAGGUAUCAACUUUGAGCCUGAGUAUUUCUAGUUUAUCUGUCUAAUUCCAAAAGCAUAACCCAUGUAUUGGAAUAAUUAUUUUUUCUGUUUACAAUCAUGCCUCUGUCCUCAUCGCUCAUUAUUUAGUUAAAUAAUCCAUGUUUUCAAUUGUUGUUGUUUUAGCACGGUGACGUUACCAUUUUCAAUAGGCACAGGCAAUAUACUAGCUAGUUGAGUACUAAAGUCUUAACUCUAAAAACCUCCCCUGAUAUAUGGCUACGACCUACAGGUGAUAGCCCAUGUGCUAAUGAUAGUCCACUGCCUUCUUGGUAGUUGUAACAACUCCUCUCAGAUUUCAUUCUUAGUCAGUUCGAGAGUAGCAGCAGCAGUAUGGGAGGUACUUGAUGAACAAUUUACAACUUACGUGAUGUAUUGUAUGUAAUGUGUUCCUAGUUUUACUAAAUAAGUUUUAACGACAAAACUGUAUGAAUCAGCAAGCUAUAAUAAAGCUCUCUAACUCAGCCAACAUUUUAGAACACUUGGACUGUGUUAGUUUAAUUCAGCAGUGAACUUAGAUAGAUAUUUUUCUAUAAGUGAAAAUAUAUAAUAUUUAUUGCUAUCUGAUGAGGGGUAACGAUGCUUCUACUUUAAUGAGCCAUGCUGAUUUGAACUCAUGUAGUCACGUGCAGCCGCUGCUGGUGCUGUGCGAUGUGUUGGUCGCCGUAGGAUGAAGACGAGCAUGUUCUAGCUGCUGGUGCUGCAUAGGGAGGGGCUCAUCGGCUGCCGACUCUACAAGACACUGGUGCUGAACUGCUAACUCACGGCUUCUACUUUCCUGUGCAUAGUAAGGUCUAUUAUGUGUGUUAACUGUAUAACUUAUUUUUUUAUAGAGAUGCUCAUGUUAAAAGUAGCUAAAGCUACAACAGUGAACUUAAUAAUUGUGAGCUCUGUCUCAGAAAAUAUAUUCUUCUCAUGUUUACCUCUUAGUAAAUAAAUUUGAACUGAUUUGACUCAGUAUAGAUAAAGAUCUUUGGUUUGAUCUAUGUGAUUAUAUAGUUGCAACUGUAGUAGUUACAAGUUUUAGAUAUUUAUUUGAUCAACACAGUGUAGGCAUUAAGUAAACUGCUGUAUUUUUAAUAAAAAAAUAAUGUUAUCUCAUUUUGAUAUAAUCAGAGAACACACACAUGCUCUUGCUUAAUCCAGUUACAUCUAUUUUAGUACUCAAUACUCGUUCACAAAGAAGCAGGUGUUGUGUAUUAGUAUGUUCCCCUAACAAAUCCAACUACACACCCCUGUUCAAAGCAGCAACGGUAACUUCUACAGCAAGUGGAAGCACUAUAGCAGGAAGCAACACAUCAAAGUCAAGCACCAGCUUAGGCAAAGGCAGGGGCUAGCUGGACCAUUAUUCUCUGAAGUUUGAACUCUAAACCAAACAUGACUUAUGGUCAGUAGAAGUACUCAUUCAGAGUUCAAAAUAAACUUCAAUUCAUUCUCAAAUUAGCUACUUGUAUUCAGCCACUAAUUAAUCUAUUGCUCAUUACAAUUAGUUAUCAAUUUUGAUAUUUUCUUGCUAGAUUAUUUUUCUGUCUAUUGGUAGCAACAGUAUCAUUAGUUGUUGUAUUCUUUCAAAUACAUGUUGUCUGAUAUUUCCUCCUCAGAUUCAUGCAACAAUUAACAACUAACGACGAUCUCAAGAGAAGUGAAGAAGCUGAGGAACGACUGGCGAGGACACAGAUGUAGAUGGAGGAGAUGAAGAAGCUGGCAGAGAUGAACAGCAAGGCAAUGGAGGAGAAAAAUACGUUGCUCAAGCAUAUCUUGUCCAUCAACAAUGCUUCUUCGAUGUGAGAGUUGCUCAGCUGCUGGUAGUAGGACUAGACUAACUAGGAACUGUAGCGGCUGGUGCUUGACAUCCUACUGAUUUUGAUUUUGCAAUGACUUGUGUUCUGGUGGUUUGCAAAUGUUCUAUUUAAACCAAGUGUGUGGUGAACUAAGUUUAUGCACUUAUGUUGCUAGUGAACCAAGUGUAGCAAUGAUAAUUAAGUUAUGAGUAAUGGAUCUUUAGUUUUAUGCAUGUUUUCGGUGAAUUCAAUAUUUCUUGCAUUUUGAAAUGAAAUUAGCAGUUGCCACUGUGAUGAAAUAAUUAUUCUGUGAUGAUAUUAUAAUUCAAUUAGUGACGAAUUUAUAUUUUAAUCUAUGACAAAAAAUAUAUGCAAUCAGACCUGGACACGUGGACUAACCAGAGGAUGCCACAUCAGCAUGCUAUGUGGAAGCCAUGGCAACACGACACGUGGCAUUCAAUCAGCACGCAACAUGGCAGACACGUCAGCACGCCACGUGGCGGCCACGUCACCAAGCCACGUGGCGGCCACGUCACCACGCCAUGUGGUGGCCACGUCACUUGCCAGCGUGGCAAACGCCGUUUGGUAGCCUGAUGGAUUGCCAUGCUAUGACUAAAUGUUCGGCACAACAACGACGAAAACAUUUCAUCAUGGAAUGAAAUCUCUUCUGUGACGAUACUAUUUUCAUCAUAGAAUGGGUCCUCAUCUAUGACGAAAAUUGCCAUUUCGUCACCGUUGUCAAUCAGUGACGCUCAUUCCAUGACGAACACUAUUCCGUCACUAAUUCGUCACAGAAGGAACUCCAUGACGAUUUUGGUAGCUUCAGUGACGAAAGAGUAGUGUCAUUAACGAGCACAUACCUAGUAUAAAAUUGAUACUUAAGAACCGUCAACAAUCGGUUAAAGGCUUUGAUAAGUAUAGAAGAAAAUAAAAAGAGAGUUGCCCGAUGGUAUGAUAAAAAGGUAAAGGCUAAGGAGUUCGCUGAUGGAGAUUUGGUAUGGAAAUUAAUAUUACCGAUUGGGACUAAAAGUUCAAAGUUUAGUAAGUGGUCUCCCAAUUGGGAAGGUCCUUAUCGGAUAAAUCGAUCUGCUCCAAGUAAUGCCUUAUUUUGGAAACUCUCGAAGGGGUUGAAUUUCCUAGAGCAUUGAAUGGAAAACAUUUAAAGAAGUAUUACCCAAGUAUAUGGGUCGAUGCAUAAAAGUUUAAGUGCCGAUAACACUCCUAUCGGCUGGAUUAAAGUGUGUUCAGACUGAAUAUGAUGUUUCGAGGAAAUACCGAUAACAGUCCUAUCGGCUAGACCAAAAUAAUCAGCAGCUUUGAAGAAAAAGAAAAACAUGUCGCCGACGAAGGAUUCAUACAUUCAGCAGGGCUUGGAUGGUCGAUAUAGCACGCAGACGAAUUUGAUCGGUCUCUUCUAUCUCCUUGAUAUCUUCAUCGGCAGAGCCUUCCACCGGUUUCAGCUUCUUCUUCAUCUGCAGUGCCUUGCGAGCUUGGACGUUUCGCUCUUGUUCGAGGGUCUUGAUCGUCUCGGGCAGCUGGCUUUCUUCCUAUUAAGUUUGGGAUAGAGCUUCUUCUAUUUGUUUGAGCUCUGCCAACAGGGUUUCCCUUUUUGCCGAUAGAUCAGAGAUCUUUUGUUUCAGCGCAUCUCCUGAGGAUUUCAGAAUGCCGAUGCUCUUGUGUUUUUCAUCGGCAAGGUGCUUUACUCUCAUUACCUCCUCUGAAAGCUGGGCAUGAGUAGCUCUAUCGGCAAGGCGCUGAGUGGCCUUUUGGUACUGGAGUUGUCGACUCUCCAAGUGAGCAGCCUUGAAGAGAAUUUCCUUGGCAUCGGCAGGGAUUUGGCCUCUGAGAGUUUUAAACAGAACCUUGGCUGGAUCGGAGUCAUCAACUAGUUGGGCCGUAUCCUGAUGGAGCAGAGCCAACAAAUCUUCCAGCUUUGCUCUGAUUUCUGCCGAUGAGAUCCCGAUUGCUUGAGAAGAACUUGCUUCUUCGCCUUCAUCUUCGGAGAUUUCGAUAGCGAAGGAGAAUAGGCUGUUGGGAGAAUCUUGUUCCUGAAAAAGAAAAGGAGAUAGGUUAUUUGAUGAUGAAAUAUUAGUAAAAUAAAGAAUGAUAAUCAAAUAGCUUACUUAUUUCAGAGCUAUCUCUCGCCUCUGGCUGGUUCAGGCUGAUAGUACCACAGGUUGAUCGCCCGGAGUUGCUGAUGGAACGAUGUCAGCUGAAAAAAAAAUAAAUAAAAAUAAUAACAAGGAUAAUUAUAAGGUGGGAAGAUAAGUCCAUCGGUGAUGAUUUCAUAGAUAGUACUUUACCUUGAGGGGAUGCAGUGCUCGUCUGGAUGGAGGAGACUACCGAUGAAAUGAUUGAUCCCACUGGAUCGAUGGUCUACUCAGGUACAUCGGCUGAUAUUUCUUCUGGCUGAGGUACCUCUUGUGGUUGAGGUGGAGAUGGUGCUUGCUGCGUCCGAGCCUCUGGUGAAGAAGGAGAUGAUUCCACUUGAAUCGGUGACCCUGGAGGAGGGGGAGGAGGUGAUACUGUCCUCUGACGCUUUGCUUGUGACUUGGUACUCUUGGGACCCUUUCUCUUUACUUGGCUGGACUAGGGGGCAUCAGCAGUCAUCUUGGUACUUCUAGUCUUUGCCGAUCUGCCAGUUUGCUGAUACAACGGUAAAAAUUUCAUAAGUACAAGGGUAACAGAGUAUUAAUGAAAUUUUGGUUGAGACAGUGAAAGUUACCGAUGAAGUUCCCAUAGCAGCCGAUGUGUCCUGAAAAAGUUGUGUAAGUAUGGAAUGGAAUCAGUAUAAGUUGAAGAAGUCAAGAGUUUACCUUGAAAGCUUGCGCCAAAGCGGUAGCAGCUACCGAUGGGGAUGUCUUCGCUCGCCUGGUGGUAAUUUUCUUGAAACGCACACCCCGGUGCAUUAAGGCCGCCAAGCUUGGCGCAUUGUUACCGAUCAGAGAGAUCGGGCCCGAUGGAAGGAGUUCGAUCUGCCUUCCACUUCUGCUGAUCGUCGGUGGUAUAUCAUCGACCUGAUUAAAGAGAGAGAAAGUAAGUUACCGUUGAAAAUAAAAGCAAUAUAAGGAGAUUGAAGCAUCGGUUGGAAACUUACAGUGUUCUCGGAAAUUUUGUACUUGGGGUCGAUCAUGCCGCGGUACGUGAGGGCUGAUCUACAUAACAGGUGUUCCUUCCACUCCUCCCACCACUGCUUGUAUGCCUGGGUGAUGAAAAGAGCCAGAAUCCAAGCCGAUAGAUCGACGUCUGUAUCGGCAUUGGUGGAAGUUGAGCUAUUCUGAUCCACUCGAGACCGCUGGUUUUGGUUUCCCUUGGUUUAACCACAUCGGCGUAGCAGAGCGCAAUCGGCAGCUGUCCAAAGGCUAGUUGGCGAGCUAGUGCCGAUGGGUUAUAGAACUCAUAAGUCAGAUUGGAGGCUUUCCCACUACCAAAGAAAAUUCACUGGUAUAGCUCUUGGAGUGAUAAUUGCCAUCAUCAGAUCAUGGUCCUUGUUGAGAGCAUUUUCAAAAGGGAUGAAAAGUCAGAGGAAAUCUGGUGUCUUGAUCCUCAUAAGGCAUCCAUGCUUGCUGCUCUCGGGCCAAACCUUCAUAAAGAGUCUGAAAGAAUCGGCUGACCUGGUCUUCAUUGCCUCCAGUGCCAGGUAAGACUUUGGCAGCUUCACCAUAGUUCAGAGGGGAACGAGUUGCCGAUUCUUCUUCAUCCAAUUCAUGAUCUUCGGCUAUAUCUCUGGGGAAGCGUUGUGUAAAAAGGUCAAAUCCAAGGGGCUUAUGCAUGUGGACACUAAGCCACAUGUUGAGAACCACCAGGGUCCCCCUAAGUUGCCGAUGGAUUAGCCUAGCAGGAGUUUCUUAGCUACCUGGUGGAGGAGGUGGUAAACAGAGCUGAGCAAGUAUCGGCCAAGAGGAAAUCGGCCACCAUUGGCCAGUCUUUCCGCUGCCGAUAGAUAGACAGAGGUUGGUCCUGCCGAUCGGCCACAGAACACAAACUUAUCCAACCACAUGUUCAAGAAAAUUGUCUGCUCCCUUUCCCCAACAGAUCUUGUCUUUCGAUACUUCUGAAUGUAUCCAGACCAACCACCGAUAGCGCAAGUUUCUACUUUAGAACUGGGCUUGGUGUCAAACAGGUGACUGUUAUCGGCAGUGAAUAUGUCUAAGCCGGUGAACAUAAGUACAUCGGCAAGAGUGGGUGGAGCAGGGCCAUGGCCGAAUACAAAAGCAUUGAGCGUGUCUGACCAAAAAUACAAAGCAGCUAUCAGCAGUGACUCGUUUCUCUCCAUAUCGGCAAGAGAUAGUCUGAUGCAUUGGUCUAAUUUCCGCUCACCCCAUUGGACUUCAUUUGAAUGGCUGACUCUCAAGAACCAGUCUUUCCAUCCCUUGGUGGGACUAGGCCAAGAGCGAAAGGCAUCUUUCCACAGAUCUAAGGAAAAGUUUUUGGCUCUGAAGGGGAUUUUAUUUGUCUCUGCAUUUAUUAGAUCGGUGGGAUCUGGAUUUCCUAACGGGCCGAAACUGCUCAUCAUUGUAGUUUGUUCAAUUAGGCUGGCAGAUAGCAAGCACUAACGUCAAUAUCAAAAAAAUGCAUACAAACAGAUCAUACUGCAGGAGCGCGAUUGAUAGUUAUUGUCAUUUCUCAAUUUCAUAACCUCAAGGAACUGACAUAAGAGAUUAAGAAAUGAAUAUAUUAAGCAAAAGAGAUUUCAUAAAUUGGAGGAGACAUUAGUUGCACUGUUGCAGUUCACAGUAGCAUAAAAGCUUAGUUCUUCUGUCAAAAGUGUGGACUAAAGGAAAUAUGACCUUACCACUAAAUCCUCCAGGGUGAGGUGUAGGCAAAUUGAAGAAAUUUGGUUUCAUUGGAGAAGCAAAUAACUAAAUUGCUAUCGGCCCACUAUGACCGUUGUUCCAGCAUAAAGCGCAUUAGUGCUAGCAAAGAAACAUUCUAACUAGUAGUAGAGUUCAUGUAAAAAGAAAGAAACUAAAUGAUCAGAUAGUGUAAAAAACAAAUUCUAAUCGUAAGGUGAAACUAACAUGCAGCAGCAUCAAUGGCAUUGCAUAGAGUAGAAGCAAAUAAUGUCGUAUGGGACCAUAAAAACUUAAAUUAUGUUGAUUGUCGUCAACUGAAAAAAAAACUCUAUUAUUUGCUACUAAUGUGGCCUAACCACAAAUAUUGUCAUGUGUGACCACAAAAACUUAAAUGCUAUGCACUCUAGCAUCAUGUGUUGAUUUCUUAUAACUAUAAAUAAUUUGUAUCAAUGGUGAUCAUCUCUGAACAAUAACAUUCUGCACAUCUGAACAGGUACUAGAACUGGUCCCUCAGCUGACAAAACAGUGGUAAAUACCACCAGCCCUCUCUGAAUGAAUCAGAACUGACAAGCUUCCUCAUUCGGUCAGCAAAUCGAUGCACAGUUACAAUAACGUAGCCUUACAUCACGUGUAGGAGGCCAGGUUGCAAACCAAGGGCUGCGAAGUGACAUCCAUCGAGAGGCAUCUUCGAAUGAAUACACUAUAUUACACAACACAAUUGGUAUUGGUAACAGUUACACAAUCAGCAUUGGCAGUCAAGACAAACUCACCUUGCUGCAGUUCAAGAGGAGCUCCUGGCCGUGACCUAGGCCGAACGCAUACUACAGUCGAAUCAUCAAACUGAAUCAAGAAGGGAAACGGGAAGUAGGAGAUGUGCAAACGAGGAGCAAGAGAAGGGGAUCUGGAGGAGGGGAACCUGGAUCUGCCAGUAGUGUUGGCAGGUGAUGCGGUGGUGGCCCUGGUGGCGGGUAGGACGACCGCCCUAGGUGUAUCGACCUCGCUGGUGCCGAACCCAGCAGCAACAGUCAGUGCUCACCCUCACCUGCGCCUUCAAAACCGCAACCACGACCAAUAGCGACAGGGAUCUGAGGGGUUGAGAGGAGGAGGGAGAGAGACGGUGCCAGGAAGGUCCUCGGCGGCGGCGAAGCAAGAGGACGAAGGUGGCGGCGAGCUAUGCUCAUUCGACGGAGGGGGCAGCGAGCUGGGGGAACUGGCGUCUCCUCGGCUCCUCCUCCCCACGAUCUCCAAAUUGGAACGGAUGAAAAAAAGGGGAUACAAUUAGAAUAAACAGGAGGCGGCGGGUGGAGUGGACACCCGUGGGUUGGCUCGGUUACGGUCACCUGGGCGGUGGGCUAGCUCGGGUACCGAUUAUUAUUCAGUACCCAGGGUAAUAUAUAGAGAAGAUAUACAUAUAUAUAUUACUAAAACAUAUACUCUUAGCAAGUAUAACAUAAUGCUUACAUGCAUUUUUCGUAUUCACGGGAGUAAUUACUCUCAUUUUUAAUAAACUACAUUACGUAUGUAUUCAUACUCGUUUAUCGGUUUGAGUAUGUUCAUAUAUUUAUAUUAAGAUAUUCUAGAUCUUACCAUGCAAAAAAUUUUCAAAGGAAUUCAUAUUUUUUAAUAUAUUACUAAAAUGUCACUAGUAUAUAUAAUAAGUAUAAUCACAUACUCUAUGUAUGCAUGCAUACUUAAUAUAUAUACUACUUCAAAUGGUUUAGUACGAUUCUACGUAUACUUCAUCGGGCCAUGUAUGCCAUAAAUCUAGAGAUAUUCAGAUAUAUGUCUCAGUGGGCCCGAAAGGCCCGACAAGAGGAUGCCGAACGUUUCUUCGGCCAUGAAGGCCCAACCACGAGCGAACUUCGUAGACGCCGAUAUAUAUCGUAUUUAUCCUUCGUUUUAGGUUUCUUCCCCCGCCGCCGUCACCGCCGCUCAGAUCUGGCGGAGACGCUCCCUGCUCCUCCAGUUCGCACGGAAGAAGAUCGCUAUCCCCACUGAUCCGUCAACCAUGAGCCGAUCCUUAGUCCUUGCCCGUCCGCCUCUGUUGUACCCCGACGAUCUGGAUCCGCCUCCGGCUUCCAUCCUCGUCGACCCGCGCGGCUACAUCGACGACCGCACCAACGCCACCACCGCCGAAGGCGUCACAAGCAAAGGCAAGCGCAUCAAGGUAACCUUCUGGAUUGUUAACCCGCCGCGCUGCUCCUGCUUCACAGUCUACAGCCCGGAUUUAGAGAAAUCCGCGUUCGGCGGCAUUCCCAUGCUCCUCAGCACAGAAGACGACCUCGCCAUGCUUCGCGUCCCGAUCUGCCGUCUGGGUGGGGACGGUGUCGCGUGGAACAACGACCACUUUGUCUAUCACGCCGGCGACGAGAAUAAGCCUCCGUCGCUGGAUUUGAUCCCCAGGGAUCCCGGCCGAGUCUUUGACGAAAACGUUGGCCUCCUGCGCUGCCGUGCUGGCGACAUGUAUUUCAUUGCUAUACUCUGCUGGGCAUACUGCGUGGGAAAGUACGAACUGCACCUCUACAGCUCCAAGACAGAGACAUGGAGCUGCAAGAUGAUGUACCUUGCUUCAUUAGAGCAGAAGUUGCUCUACACCUACCCCAGCAAGGUGAUCACUAUUGGAGGGGAGCAUGGGUCCAUAGGUUGGGUUGACCUCUGGCGAGGCAUCCUCGUAUGCGACGUCCUCAAGGACAGCUCCGAGCUUCGCUACAUCCCACUGCCACCUCCAUUGGUGCCCAGGAAACUCAAGGGUCCUCCAUUGUAUGUUCGUGACAUCAUUGUUGUUGAAGGCUACAUCAAGUACUUCGAGAUGUGUUCACAUAUUGUCGGACCUGAAGCUUGGAAGGCAGUCACAUGGGAAAGGAAGGAUUCUUGGGAUGAGUGGAAGAAGGACUGCGUGAUUGAAGUUCCCAAGUACCCAGCACAGACCAACCCUGAUCAGCAGGAGGCUGAAACCAAAACCCUACCAACCUUGAAGGGAUUCUACUCAGGUUAUCCAGCCCUGAGCCACCACGACAGUGGUGUUGUUUACAUAUUGGACAGACACGGCCUCGAGGACACAGACGUAACUGUGCUUGCAGUUGAUAU